rnacentral:lncRNA from 1 species
UUUUUUUUUAAUAAUGUCUAAAAAAUUAUUAUAAUAGGGCAAUAUUAUAAAAAUAAGUUAAAAGGAACAAAAGAUAAUGGCAAAAGUGUCAAUAAUUUAAUGGUAGGAAUGGUUUGAGGUAUUUUUAAAAAUAUAGGGACUAAACGGACACUAACUUCAAAAUAUAGGGACUAAACGAGCUGUAAACUUGCCCCCCCGAAAAAAAAAAUCCCAUCAAGUAAUCAACCUCUUGAACAGAAAAGCCUGAGAUUUCAAAAACUGAACAUAGAAACUUGACAUUUUCUUAUAUGCACGAUCAAGAUCAUUAUGUACACUGACAAAAAACCAGAGAAAACUCAUGCAUGAUUGGGUUUCAUCUACAAACACAAUUAACCAACAAGUAAUUUUUAAAAAAAUUAAUUUCUUCAAGCGGAAAAGAAACCGUCAAAAGCAGUAACUGUAAUCUGGCUCUUAGGCUUCAAUACCCACUUGACAAAUUUUCUGAUCUCUUUACUUUUUAACAAUUGAGAUGCUCUGAAGAAGGCUCAUGAUGAACUAGACAUUCAUGUUGGUGCAAAUAGGCAAGUGAAUGAAUCUGACAUUAAAAAUUUAGUUUACUUGCGGGCUAUCCUCAAGGAAACAAUGCGUUUAUAUCCGGUUGUGCCACUUUAACUACCUCACCAGUCGAUGGAAGACUGCACUGGCAGUGGUUACCAUGUCCCUCAUGGAAACAAUGCAUUUAUAUCCGGUUGCGCCACUUCAACUACCUCACCAGUCGAUGGAAGACUGCACCGUCAGUGGUUACCAUGUCUGUGCAGGCACGCAACAUUUUGUUAAUGCUUUGAAGGUUCAUCAUGACCCAAAAGUUUGGCAGGAGCCUUGAAAAUUUCUGCCAGAAAGAUUUCUUACAACACACAAGGAUAUUGACUUAAGGGGACAAAACUUUGAAUUGAUACCAUUUGGCAGUGGUAGAAGAAUAUGUCCUGGAAUUUCAUUUGCCUUUCAAGUUAUGCCACUAACCCUUGCUUAUCAAUAUUCUUAAUUAUGUAAAUCAUAUUUUUUAUUAAUUUUAAAUUUAAUUAUGUAAAUUAAAAAUUAUUAAUAAGAGCAACACAAAUGAAACAUUAUUAUUAAUAAUAUAGUACAAAAUUAAUAUUUUCUUAUAAUAAACUAUUUAUUAUUAUUAAUUAUUAAUAUUAAAUAAAUAUAAUAUUAUUAUUUAUUUUAUUUUAUUAAAUAUAAAUUAUUAAAUUUAAUAAAAGGAGGGUAGAAAAGGAAGAGGUGGGAGUGUCAUGAGAGUCCCACUCCCACUGCCCACUCCAAAAAUAGGUGGAGCCCACGAAGUGGGAUUCUAAAUUCUCUCUUAAAAUGUUAAAGUAAAUAUUGGAGUGGAAGAAAUUCACAUUUCUCACUCUCACUUCAAAAAGUAAACACAACGAAAGAGUAGAUAACCUUUGUGUUUUAAAAAUUUCAAAAACUUAGAAAGGGCAUUUCAGGUAAUUAAUAAUAAAUGGAUUAUUAAAUAAGGGUUGAGAGCUACAAUAUAUGUAAAUCCACACUUUAUGAAGAAAUAAUUUAUAAAAAAUCACAUUAUUUUUCAAAAUUUAAAAUAAAGAGAAAGUUUAGCAAUUAAUUAAUUUUAUCCAAUUCUUUACAUAAGUCUGUUGACCAUAGUUGAUCACUAAUGUUGUUUAAACAUAAUUUAAUUUGAGUAUAUUUUAUCCGAUAACAAAAAAAAAAAUCAAAUUGUCCAAAAUAUAUCUGCUGUACGGCCAAGGCGGAUGUACGGUACAGCAGUUUAUGAUAAAUAUUUGUUGAAUAUCGGUACAUAUAAAGGAGUAAAAGAACACAUAUAUCAAAACACGUAAUAUCAAAACUCUUAGAGAAACACAUAUAUUUAACAAAUAAGCUUAUGAUAUAAAUUAUUAAAAUUAAACCAUAAAAUAAUUAUUAUGAAAUUAUUUUUUUAUUGAUAGAGAAUGUCAUAUAUUUGAAUUAUUUAAUAUAAUUAGAAGAAAAAAAGUAAAUAUGACUGUGAAGUUAAAAGUCAUGAAAGUUAUAGUUGAAAAUGUUGUUAAUUGUUAUUGUGUUCCAUUUUGCAAUUAGACCAAACCAUAUAUUCAUAUAUAUGGUGAUGUUCCAUUUUCUAAUACUAGUGACAAUGUUAUAACAUAGUUACUAUAUUCCAUUUUGCAAGUUUCUAAUACUAGUGACGAUGUUAUAAUAUAUAUUGAUAUAUGUUUCUUUCAAUUAGAUCAAAUCAUAAUAUUUUUUAUAAUAAGUUAAAGCAAUAAUAAAAUUUUUACCUCCUAAUGAUUUCAAUUAGUUCAAGAAAUAUAAAAUUAAAUCAUUUUAUAAAACAAAUCUCUAACUCCUAUUGAAAGAAAAAAUAUAGUUGAAUGAGGGACAAAAUUAAAAAUAAAAUAUAAACUCUAUUAUUUUAUGAAAUACUUAGUUUUCAAUUAAUGUUUUCUAAAUGUCCCCUUAUUUGUCCUUUAAUGUAGAUUGAAUCAUUAGUUGGUCAGAAUUUAAAAUCUUGACAACUUUUAAUUUUGGCUCUAAUAUAAGCUUACAAAUGUAGGCAUGUAGCUUGCUGUUAGAUUUGGUUAUGCGCUGAUAAAUUUUUUAACAAGUGAAAAAGAGAAAAGAGAGAGAAAUUACCUUAAUUUGAUAAGGAAAUUAGCAAAUAAGAGGAAGAUAAGAUAAUUUACGGUAACAAAUAAAUGAUAAAUUCUGAUUUUUUAGAGAAAAAAAAGAGUAAAAUAUGUACUAAUGGAGCGUUUACAUUUUGGAUUGGAGUGGUAAUCCUAUGAUUGAGAGUGUGGAGUGGGAGUGGGAGUGGGAGUGGGAGUGGGAGUAGAUUGUUUACUUACAGUGGAAUGGAAGUAUGGAAUGGAGAUUAGAAUCCAAUUUAUGUAUUUACUUUAUCUUGGAUUUGGAGUAAAUAAUUUCAAAUUACAAUUUUACCGUUAUUUAAAAAAUUAUAGCUUUUAAUUACAAAGUUAAUAAAAAAUAUAUUUGAUAAAUAAAAUUUUAUUAUUAUUUUUCAAAUUAGGGUGGAAGUUCUGACUAAGAUUUGGAGUGUAGAGUGAGAUUGAGAGUAAGCUCUUUACUUACAUUGGAAUAAGAAUAUGAAAUAAGAAUUAGAAUUCCAUUUAUAUGUUUAUUUUGUGUUGCAUUUGGAUACUUUGUCUUGGAUUGGAGUGAAUUGUUUAAAUUACAAUUUUACCAUAUAUAAAGAAUUUUAGGUUUUUAAUUACGAAGUGAAAAAAUAUAUUUGUAAAAUAAACUAUUUAUUUUAUUAUUAAUUUUAAUUACAUAAAUUAGUAAUUAUUAUCAAUAUUCUUAAUUAUGUAAAUCAUAUUUUUUAUUAAUUUUAAAUUUAAUUAUGUAAAUUAAAAAUUAUUAAUAAGAGCAACACAAAUGAAACAUUAUUAUUAAUAAUAUAGUACAAAAUUAAUAUUUUCUUAUAAUAAACUAUUUAUUAUUAUUAAUUAUUAAUAUUAAAUAAAUAUAAUAUUAUUAUUUAUUUUAUUUUAUUAAAUAUAAAUUAUUAAAUUUAAUAAAAGGAGGGUAGAAAAGGAAGAGGUGGGAGUGUCAUGAGAGUCCCACUCCCACUGCCCACUCCAAAAAUAGGUGGAGCCCACGAAGUGGGAUUCUAAAUUCUCUCUUAAAAUGUUAAAGUAAAUAUUGGAGUGGAAGAAAUUCACAUUUCUCACUCUCACUUCAAAAAGUAAACACAACGAAAGAGUAGAUAACCUUUGUGUUUUAAAAAUUUCAAAAACUUAGAAAGGGCAUUUCAGGUAAUUAAUAAUAAAUGGAUUAUUAAAUAAGGGUUGAGAGCUACAAUAUAUGUAAAUCCACACUUUAUGAAGAAAUAAUUUAUAAAAAAUCACAUUAUUUUUCAAAAUUUAAAAUAAAGAGAAAGUUUAGCAAUUAAUUAAUUUUAUCCAAUUCUUUACAUAAGUCUGUUGACCAUAGUUGAUCACUAAUGUUGUUUAAACAUAAUUUAAUUUGAGUAUAUUUUAUCCGAUAACAAAAAAAAAAAUCAAAUUGUCCAAAAUAUAUACUUCUGUGACAUAAGUUGAAAAAAUUAAAAUUUGGAAUGUAUGCUGUAUCUUUUUCCCAAAUUUUGUAUUGAUAAUCCCAGAUUAGGGCAUGGAUUGAAAACUCCCCAAUUUUGAGUUACAAAUCCCCAAUUCGAUGUGGGCAUUAACUACAAAUCCCCAAUUUAAAUAAACUCUUAUUUAAAUAAGAGUGAGUUUGAUUGAAUUUCGGCUUAUAAAUUAAAACAAUGCAGUUUGGGAAUGAUGUGCUUCCAAGAGGCUCUCUUUUGUCUCAAAGAGACGGCCACCUUAAUUUUAUACUUAUUCGAUGCAACCAAAAAAUAAGGCCACUUUAAUUUAUUCAGUUUGAAUAAAAUCAAUUCCACCAACCGAGAUCCCAUUCACUGUCGUCAACAUUAAUUGAAUUGAACAAGCUAAUUCAAAGAUAUGCACGCGUUUUAUUUCUGUUAAGGGGAAAAUGUCAAUAAAUCUAUGGGCUAUCUGAGUAAUCGAUUUCAGUUGCCGAAACCAGUACGAGUCUAUUCACUAUGGUUUGAGGUGUUGUAGCUUAAAAAAAUUUGUAUUUAUGAAAAAAAUUAAUAAUAAAUAAUAAAUAUAAAUUUUAAAUAAUAAUUUUGACAAAAUUAUUAAAGAUAUAAUAUAUUUUCUAUUAUAUAAGUGAAAAAUCAUAUCAACAUAAUUUCUAAAGUACAGUAGGUAGUGUUUACCAAAUACUUUAAUGUUGUAUCUUUUAAGGUACAGUUGCCUAAUCUUAAUCUCAAACGUACCAUAUAUCUUACUACAUUAAAUAAAAAAAAAUACUAGUCUGAUUUUAAUACUAAUUUGCAAAGCCCCCUCUAUUGGCGGUUCAAAUUUUGUCGACUAGAAUUGUUCUUACAUGUUAUCCACCUCAGGCAUUCAAACAAUUCACAUUCUCAAUUAAUCAAUUAACUAAAUAAAUUGACUUGUAUAAAUCAAAAAUGCUAAAAUUGUAAAUGUAAGCCUUACUAGCCAUUUCACUUGAAUAAAUUGGAAAGGACUUCUGAAUUGAUCAAUUAAUCAAAAAGACAGCGUAAAUGUUUAAACGAGGAGUAGCGUGUGACACGUAAGCCUUAAUUAAUCAAGUAAUUAAUUGAUAAAAAAAAGUUAACAAUAGAUGUAUGUGGCACACACAUGAGCCUUGAAGGAGCCAAGACCAUAUUUUAUUCACACAACUUGAUUAAUUCUCUUCCAUGCUAAGUUCAAAGCCAAAAUUAAUUAAUACAACUUUGGACCAUCGAUCUCUUCUUUGAAGCAAGAAUUUUAAUUGGAUUAAGAAACGACACUAAUAUUAAUUGAACGAUUUUGAUGAUGAAAACAAUGAGUUCAUCUAAGAUUGAGACUUUUAAUUAAUUUGAAGCUAUUAAUUUUUGGAGUUGGACUAUUGGCACUCUCUAAAAAUCGUUUAAAUCUUUUUUUUUAAUUAUCUUAUUAAAAUAUUUUAAAUAAUAUAAAUUUCUUAUGACUCCUCUUAAUUAAAAUUCAUUCUUAUAUAACCCCACUCUUACAAUUUUUUUUAGUAUUGUUCAAGCGUCUUAUGAUGUCAACAGCCUUUUUCUUUCCUUAUCUAUUUUUUCAAUUCUUAGUAAUACAAAAUAUAUUCUUCUUACUGACUUACUCCAUGUUAACACAAACUCUUGUUACCGCUUAUUUUCUCCUCAAUUAAGUCCAUUCAUAAGUGGUAAAAGAGUUUCCAUUAUAAAUGCUUUCAACUUCAAAGAUUUGAAAAUUUUAUUAUAAUAACUUCUAUUUUCAACACAAAAGCAAUUCAACCUAAUGUUGAGUUCUUCAUCGUGCUUCCAUUGGUGAAUGCACAUGUGCUCUAUGCCAUGCUACACCCUAGAGAAAGAAUGAAAACAAAUUCAAUUUUUGUAAGAAAAAUUACUGCUACAGUCACAAAAUUUGAAAAAAUAGUCACAAAGACACCUAAAUUUUUAAAAGGAAAACACCAAAAACUUCCUUUUAACUAUUAUAUCAUUUGAAUUUAGUAUUUAGAAAAUUGACUUUGAAGUUUUUUAAUUAAUACAGAUUUAAUAGAAAUAAUAUAAUCAAUCUAGUAAACUACCAAUAUUAAGUUAUUUUUAACAUUUAAAAUAAUAUUAAAUUUUAUUUAAUAUUAUGUUUCUAUUUAUUAUAAAAUUUUGGGGUUAAUUUUUUUAAUUUAUAGAGUUAAAGCAUAUUAUGGUCAGAAGCGGAUCUUGGUGUCCCUUAUUAAAAACUUGGGGGCCUUUGUGACUAUUUUUCCAAACUUUAGAGGGUAGGUGUCUUUUUUUCUUUUUUUAUAUAUAAAAAGAUAAAUUUAUUUAAUUAAGAAUUAAAAAAAAAAGUGCGUGUGAUGGUAAGGGAUCCAACUCUAAUUUUUAUUUAUCAAGCAACGAUAAAGACUAUGGCGAAGCUUUUUAACACACUUUAGUGUAAUUUAUAAAAUACUAACUUAUAAAAUAAAAAUCAAUCAUCUUGUCAUAAAUUUUAACUUAAAAAUAAUUCUAAAUUUUUAAAGAUUUCACAAAAGAAAAAAAAAAUCUUCAGUUGAUGUUUAAAAUAUAAAUAUAAGGGAAAAUUAUAGCUACACUCUCAAGGUUUAGAGAAACAAACAUGAAGAACCUAAACCUUCAAUAAGAGACAUUAAGACUUCUUCUAACCAUAAUACCCUUUGGUUCUAUUAAAUUGACUCCAAUGUUUUACAAAAAAUAGAAAUACAAUAUUAAAAUAGACAUAAUAAUAUGUACACUUUAUAUAUUUAAUAUUAAAAAAUACUUUAUUAUUUUACAAUCUACUAGAAAAAUUAAAUUAUUUAUAUUAUAUUUGUUAUAUUUAUUAAAAACGUUAAAUUUUUUAUUUACUAUAUUCAAAAGAUAUUAUAGUAAAACAAGAUCUUUGUGUUCCUUAUUGAAAAUUUAGAGGUCUUCAUGACCAUUUCUCUAAACUUUGUGGGUAUAAUUAUUCUUUUCUCUAAAUAUAAAUUAUGAAAUGUGGUGGGUGUAAUAUAUAAUUAAAAGAAAAUUUAUUUUAGCAUUUAAUUGAAUUUUGAUUAAAAAAAAGAACUAAUUUAUCUUUAGUUAUUUAGGUAAUUUUGUUUAAAGAGGGGUUUAAGGAGAUUUAGAGGAGUGUCAAAAGUAAUUAGUUUUUUUUUUCAUCGUUUGGAAUUUUGAUUCUCUUCUAGUUUCGUUUCUCAUUAUGAGAUUUUUCUGGCCAUCUAAUAUAAUUUAUCUAGAUUAUAAGUUAUUAACAACAAAACACCUUUAAUACAUACUUUUGAGAACUAAAAUGAUAAAAGAAGAGAAAGUCAAAGAAAAUCAAGACUACAACUUUCAAUAAAUAAAUAACUUUAUUUACAUGGAACUAAUAUCUAUUAUUCUCAUAUUUAAUCUAAUUUUUUUUAUAAUUGUCUGAGUACUGAAAUCAAAUACAAAAUGAGAAAAGAGGGAAUUGAACGAAAAAAAAAACAAAGAAAAUAAAUUUACAUGGGUUAUAGAUUAUGAGAGUUUAUUUGAAUGAAGAAGAAAGAUGGGUGUCCCCCCCCCCCCCCAAAANNNNNNNNNNNNNNNNNNNNNNNNNNNNNNNNNNNNNNNNUAAAAUCGAAUAAAGAAGAAAGUGGAGAUUUAAUUAGGUAGGGUUGGCAAAAAAGUCCGGGUCAGACUAAGCCCACAGGCUUGAGGCUCGGCCCGCAUCAUGGAAAUGAGCCCAAAAAUAAGCCCACUCUGAAUGCCCCUUGUUAGUACGGGUGGGCAUUUGGUUCGAACCGAACUGAACCAAACCGAACUAUAUUAUAGUAAUUUGGUUCGGUUCAGUUCAUGUUAUAAAAGUAAAUGGUUCAAAUUUUCUGAACCAUUUGGUUUUUAAUUUGCUGAACCAAAUGGUUCAGUAAAAGAAUUGAAAUUAAAAUUAAAAAAAAAAGGAAAGUGAAAAGUGAAAACCUAAGCUAACUAAAACACACAUUUCACUAUUUCAAAUUAAAUCACACAGCCACAUAAGCAAUUAACCACCCACCAUCUGAAACUCUUUUUCUCUUUGCCGGCCACUACACACGAGUAAUCAGCCACCGCUCAUCAUCCCCACCGUCAUUAGACUCAUCAUCAUCGUCGUCAGCCUGUCACGGAUUCAUCCAUCGUGCUUGUGCCACACGCUGCAACUUUCAGUCCAUUGAGCUUCAGUCAGCAGACUCGGCACCAUCUCUCACUCUUGUUCACCGUCAGCCACACCUUCCUCACGCCAUCACCGUCGCUGGUCUUGCCAAACUGCUGUCAAGGACUCAAGGUGCGUGAGACAGCCAAUUACUUCUAAUUUGUUUUAAUCUUUGCUCUAAUAUCAUGACCGAACCGAACUGCUAUCAAUAAUUGUAUUGUAAUUUGUCAAACUAUCUUGGGCCCUUAAUAAUAUGUAAUGGAUUAGCUUAAUAGUUAAUAGCUUGUAGAAACAGCCACUAAUUUAAUCGAAUUAGUAAUAAAAAUUUGUAGUAAUACCUAGUGAUAUAAUUGAAUUAUUAUUAAAAAUUAGUUAGUAAUGUCCACUGAUUUAGUCAAAUUAAUUUAUGGUUUACAAUGUUACAAUUAGUUAAGUGAUAGAAUUAUAGAAUAAAUUAAUUCGUAAAAGUUAAAUGGGGUUGACCUUCCGUAGUUGACUAUUGUUUGCAAUAUUUUCAGAUGGUUGCUUCUUCAAAGGUCCAAGACAAUAUUGAAUCCUGAAGCAAUGAAUCUGACCGUGAAACUGAAGUUGAAAAUGAUUCGUUAACAUUAUCCAAUAGUAGUGGAACAAAGAGAAAAAGAGCUUCAAUACCCAGAAAAGCAAUGUUGCCAAGAUCCGAGGUGUGGCAACAUUUCACUAUAUUGCCAAGUGAUGCAAAAAAGUGCACAUGUAACCAUUGUGGUGUAGAAUUUCGUAUAGGGCACGAGACUAGCACUUUAAAGACUCACUAUCAAGAUAGGUGCGAUAAAUAUAAGAGCUUCGAGAAGGAUCAAACAGUUUUAACUAAAGAUGUUGGUAGUGAAGAUCUUUUGGCAAGGGGGUUUAGUUAGGAUGCUUGUAGACGCGCAACUGUAAAAAUGAUUGUUUUUUAUGAAUUUCCAUUUUCUGUUGUAGAGAAUCCAGGAUUUAAGCAUUUUUGCAGUGUGAUUGCUCCUAGGUAUAUUCUUCCAUCACAGAGAACUAUUACUAGGGAUACUCUUGAUUUGUUUGUGGAAGAGAAGACUAAGUUAAAGAGCUUAUUGGUCGGGAAUAAGCAAAGAGUGUCUUUGACCAUCGAUAUUUGGAUUUUUAUUAUAACAGCUAGCUAUAUGGUCUUCACAACUCACUUUAUUGACACAGAUUGGAGCUUACAUAGAAGAAUUAUUAGUUUUAAUAUCGUUAAUGAUCAUACAUCAGAGACGAUUGGCAAGAAACUUAAAAAAAUGUUUGAUUGAUUGGGGUAUAGAGCCAGUCUUUGCAGUAACUGUAGACAAUGUAAGUGCAAAUGAGGGUGCCGUUAGGUAUUUAAAGGAUAGAUUGAGCACGUGGAGAGAUGAUUCUUUAGUGUUGAAUGGGGAUUAUAUGCAUGUCUGUUGUUGUGCACACAUUUUGAAUUUGAUAGUUAAUGAAGGGUUGAAAGAAAUGGAUGCGAGUAUAGUUAGUGUUCGUAAUGCCAUGAAGUACGUGAGAUCUUCCACUGCAAGGAUGCAAGCAUUUCAAAUUUGUGUGAAUCAAGAGAAGAUUAAUUGCAAGGGAAGUGUGAUUUUAGAUUGUCCUACAAGGUGGAAUUCCACUUAUAUGUUGAGUACGGCAUUGAAGUUUAAGUCAGCAUUUGAUCGAAUGGCAAAUGAAUAUAAGUUUUAUGAUGCAUAUUUCCGUGAGAAAGAAAAUGGGGAAAAAAAAAGGAUAGGACCACCAUUAAAUAGUGAUUGGGAAAGUGCUCGCCGCAUUUGUAAAUUUUUGAAGACUUUUUAUGAUGCUACUUUGCAAUUUUCUUCCUCUUUGAAGGUAAUAUCAAAUUUUUGCUAGAAUUUAGUUUGUCAAAUUAAUUAUUCUUUGGCUUUAAUAUCUAAUAGCAAUUUUUAUUUUUUUUUAGUUGACAUUAAAUCUUUGCUACAAUUUGAUAUGUCAAAUUGAAUCUACUUUGAAAUCCUUGUGUAAGAGCAAUGAUUCUGAUUUGAGUGCCAUGGCAACUAAAAUGAAGGACAAAUUUGACAAGUAUUGGGAGGGCACAAUCAAGAUAAACAAGAUGUUAAUUGUUGCUUGUGUACUUGAUCCACGAGGCAAAAUGAAAUUCGCAACACAUUGCUUCGAGGAAUUGUAUGGCCAGGAUAGUGGCAAAUGUAGUGAGAUGAAAGAAAUGGUAAAAGACUUGUUUGUUAAACUUUUUGAGUCUUAUAGUGCACGGUACUCUAAACCCAGUGGAGUUGGAAGUGCAAGUGCAAGCAAAAGUGCAAGUGCGAGCCAACAUUUUGGGAGUGGUUGUGGUUUGACUUCUUGAGAGUUGGAUGAUAUUGAUGAUGUUGCGAUCGAGGACCCUUUUCUCCUAAUUUAGUAAGAAAGUUACUGUUAGUGAAGAUAAUGCGGAAUUAUUAAAUGAAUUGGAGCUAUACUUGAUGGAGAAGACUGAAAAAAUUGCACCAAAAAAUAAUUUGGGAGCUAAAUUUGAUAUUUUGUUAUGGUGGAGGGUGAAUAGUUCGAAUUAUCCGAUCUUGGCAAAUAUAGCAGGAGAUGUCAUCGUUGUUCCAGUGUCUACUGUUGCAUCGGAGUCCGCCUUUAGUACCGGAGGUAGCAUACUAGAUCAAUAUAGAAGCUCAUUAACUCCGGACAUGGUUGAAGCAUUAAUAUUGACACAAAAUUGGUUGCGAUCAUCUCUUUUCUUGGAUGCGACAACAAAUCUUAAUCAGUUAGUUCAAGAAAAUGAGUUCAUGGACCAACUUUCAGAAGGUACGUUGUGUCAAUUUAAAUUUAAGUUUAUUUUUAGUAGUUUUGGACAAUUUUAAUUUGUUUUAACUUUUGUUUAUUUAGAGUUUCGUAAAUCAACAACUGCGGACCAUUUUGGUUUUGGUGUUCUACAUUGAGUCAUUGAGACUUUGGUUUAAUAUGAAGAAUAAUAGGUAAUGAAGUUAAUUUUUUUUUUGCUAGUUAGUAAAUGUGAUUAUAUUUAUAUAUGUCAUAGCAUAUAUUUUAAUUUAUUCUAUUUAAUUGUUGGUGCUUGGUUAAUGAUUUAUUUUGACUUGGAGAUAUAAUAUAGGCAUUGUGGAUGUGGAAAGAUGAAGAGGUGGCGAUAGAAAGAGUGCUUUGUUGGCCAUGGAAGUUUGAAGUUUCUUUUGUAAUAUGUAUUGGAUUUUUAAAUUAUUGUUGGAUUUUAUGAUGUUAAUUUACUAUUGUUAAUUUUGUUAUGUUAUUUAUUGUGUGGAUUUCUAGAUUUUUUUUUGGAUUUUAUUAUGUUAAUCUACUAUUGUUAGAUUUUUUAUGUUUAUUAUUUGUGGAUUUAAUAGACUAAGGAUUAUUGAUUUAUUGUUGUUUUAAUAGUGUAUUACCAUUAUAUCAUUUUAUUAAAUAAUGAAUAUAUAGGUUGAAACCAAACCAAAUUACCGAACUGAACCAAAUCAGUUCAGUUUUAUAAUUUGGUUCAAAAAUUCAUGAACCAUUUGGUUUCAGUUUGAUUCAGUUCGAGGCCUGAACCGAACCAAACCUAAUAGUGCCCACCCCUACUUGUUAGGGGUGGAAAUAAUACCCGUCCGGUCCGGACCUUGACCGCACCCGGGCAUUUUAGGUCAGGUAUGAAGCCGGGCCGGUCUUAAGCAUCACUUGAUAAACCAAGAACUCAAAUUUUAUUAAAAAAAUAUUAUAAAAUAUAUAUUAUUUUAAAUAUUUAUAUUUAUUUGACUCAUUUAUUAUACAUAUAUAAAGUUUUAAACACUUAAAGUUCAUAUUUUCAUGUCAAAUUUUAUUAAAAUAAAUUUAAAAUUUAUAAAAUUACUAAAAAAUAAAAAAUAUACAGAUAUAAUAUUAAAAAAUAUAAAAUCUGGGUACCCGAAUUAAAGUCCGGCACAACCCGGCCCAGACAUAUAUUGCAUCCGGGUCGAGUCCGAUCAUUGUGAUACCCAAAGUUUUGCCAACUCUAGCCCUGGUUAAGGGCUUUUGCAAAAAGGCCGGGCUUUAAUUUAUAAAUUAAAAAAUUUUAAAAAAAAUAAAAUAUUCUUUUUCAUUGAAAGAGUUGAAUCCCUCAUUCCAUUUUGAAUUAACAUCCUUUUUAAUAAACAUGAGUCUUGAGCUUCUGCAUAAAUUACAAUACAUAAACGUAGUUAAUAUCUAAAAUAUAAAUAAUUUUAAUUUACAAUAAUAAAUAAUAAAAAGAAGAGAAAAAGAAAUACAAAUAUUUGCUUAGAGGUGACCGGCCAAGUCCAUUCAAGGGAGCAAUUAAUAUUUUUUUGUUUAAUAAUAAUAAUCAUCUUAAUUUAAGUGUUUUCGUUAACUUAUAGUUUAAUUAAAAAUUUAUUUAACAAAAUUAUGGAAGGCCCAAGCCCUGCCCAGAUCCGCUCAAAUUGAAUGGGCUUUCCAGGGCUUGGACCAAGUAUCAAUUCUAUGGGCUGGGCCUAGGCUUUGAGAAAGCCCAGCCCAAACCAACAAAUUACCAACCCUAUAAUUAGGUGACUAGUUUCAGAGUUAACGUCUGUUAGCAUUUGCGUUAACGGUUUUAAUUUUAAUAGAGCUUUCGGUUUUUGUGUAGGGAGACACAUAAUCCAAAUUUAAUUAAAUGGACUGGAUUUAUUAGAUACUAGAUAGGCCUUAAAAUGGAGUUGGAGCGAAUCUAGAAUUUUGAUGAAUGGACCCAAGACCGGAGGUAGAUACGUGGAUAUGAUAAGGCCCGGUUCAAGAUUCAUAUCCAAUAAUAUUCCUUUAAUUUUAUUUUUUUAAAUCAAUUACAGUAAUAAUAAUUUACUCCAAAAUAUUUACAUAUCAAUUUAAGAGAGGCCAUAUUUCUUCAUCACAUCUUCGCCAGCUGCCGCUCGUCACUCACUCGCGGUUCGAGCUGUCAGGGUCAGGCAUAGUAAUUUUGAAAAUUAUCUGUCUCUUCUGGCACGUGCUGGAUGCGUGAGAUUGGAAAUUUGGAAUCACCUUGCAAUAAAUUCAAAGUGCUCUUCCUGACUCUUACUUUUCGAUUGCUGGGUGCUUAGAUAUGUAUUUAUGAAGUUGCUUUCUUUACUAACACUUAUCCAAAAUUGUUAGGUUUAGACUUUUCUUUUCACUGUUCUAAAGACGUGCUUUGUAUUUUAUAAUAGCAAUUAGUUAUUCUCUGAUUAAUUUGACGUGCAUGGUUGGUUACUUGGUUUGAUAGUUGGAUGUAAUUAACAAUUUAAUUGAUUGGGAGGAAAAAAAAUUAAAACGAAGCCUAGGUAGUCAUUCAAUGUACAGUUGCUAGUUAAUUCAGGUGGAAAUUAUAAAAUCUAGUAAAAUCAGAUGAAAAUUGUAAAAUCUAAUAAAAUUAAGUGAAAAUAAAAAUAAAAUUGCUGUAACUAUAAUGUUCGAACCGAACUGAACUGAAUUAAAUUAAAUUUAAUUUCAUAAUACAGUAGAACCUCCAAUAGAAAUAUUCUAUAUAAGAAUAGCUUGUUCAUAGUAAUAAAAAAUUGUGAUUCCAAUUUGCGACCAGUUAUAAUUAAAAAUAAACUCCACAUUGUAAUAAGUUAUAUUCUUUGUAAGUUCCGUCUUAAUAAACUUACCUCUACAUAAUAAUAAUAUUUCAAAAAUAUAUGCCAUGUUACAUUAAAUAAUUAAGAUGGAACAAAAUAUCUUUCUAAAGUUGCUUGUGACAAUGAUUUGUUCUUUAAAGUUACAACUACAUUUUUCAACUUGCGGGUAUAUAUUAAUUGGUUAACAUAGACACUUAGUAAUUGGUCAGCAUACACACUUAAUAAUUGGUCAAUAAAAUAAUUAAUUUAUUAAUGUAUAUAUAUUAAAUUUGACUCACUUAUUAAUUUAUUAAUACAUGACAUUAUUUACCUCUAUAUCACUUGCAUUAGGGAUAAUUAAGCAAAGACAAUAAUUUUUGUACUAUACAUCUAUUGAAUUAUAACAUUUUUAUAGGAAUAAAUUUCUCAAUUCCCAACAAUAUGACUAUAUAGAAGUUUUAGUGUAUUUCGGUACAAUUCAAAAAUUCGAUUUGAUUUAAGUUCUAUUCUUAAGAACCGAACCUUAUGGUGCCUACCCCUAGGUACUUGUACAUGAAUGAUAAGAUCUAGUUCAAGAUUCCUACCCAAUAUUCCUUUAAUUUUAUUUUUUAAAUUAAUAAUAGUAAUAAUAAUUUACUCUAAAAUAUUUUGAUAUCAAUUAAGAAAGACUAUAUUUCUUCAUCUCAUCAUCAAUAGAAAGAAAUGCCAACCAACUCAAUUUGAAAUUAAUUAUUUUUCUCAAUAUUAAUUUAUCAUCAUUGUUUCAAUGGUUAACAAUAGGGUAACGUUUGAUAGUCAUUCAGUCAAAGAAUGAGCAAAAAUUAUCCUUCAUAAUUCACAUUUAUAACCUAACAGAAAAAAAACAAAAAUGCAAGACUUUGGUUCCUGAGUCAUGAAAUUGGAUAGGAAAAUGAAAAAUAAAAUGACUUGGUCAUCGAAAUUUUAUGUUAGCCAUGGGUCAAAGUAGUAAACCGGCAUUUUCUAUGACUUUAGAAGCUUCCCUUGGUUUCACAAAGCAACAAACUGACUGGAAAAGUAAAAGUGUUUGAAUUUUGUUAUAUCUUAGACGAGUCUCUUCCUAGGUAUGGGAAUUAUUUGUAAAUAUUUUGUUUGAUUUAUAAGCUUGUCCUUAAUAGUACAAUUACUUUAUAAGUACUUUAGUUAUAUAAAAUUUUAUUAAAAUAAGUGUUUAAGGGUAUAUUACCAAUUUUGUAAUUAUCUUAUAAUCAUUGACUAGACGAAACUUUGACUGCAGACCUUACGCUACAUGCUCUUAAAUUAUAUCUAUGUACCAGACAUUGAUUUGAAGUAACCUCUUCAUUCAGAUCAGAGUCCCAGAGCCAGCAAAAAGCAAUUAGAAAUGGCCAUUCUUCUUACACUAGAAUCAACUGUUCUUGCAAUAAUUUCAGGUUUUGUAAUAUUUCUCUCACUUUUACUCUUGAUUUCACUAAAUGGGCGAACAAAAAAGACACAAGCUCCUCAUCAAGCACCAGUAGCUGCGGGAGCAUGGCCUUUGAUUGGCCAUUUACAUCUCUUCGGAGGGCAAGAGCCAACUCAUAGACUUUUGGGCGACGUGGCUGAUAAAUACGGUCCAAUAUUCACUAUGAAAAUGGGCUUGAAUCGAGCUUUAGUGGUCAGCAAUUGGGAAAUUGCCAAAGAAUGUUUCACCAUCAACGACAAACCCUUUGCAAAUCGUCCCAGAUCAAUGGCCAUGGAUCUCUUAGGGUACAAUUUUUUGGCCAUUGCUGCCAGCCCAUACGGCAACUACUGGCGAGAGUCUCGCAAGAUGGCCACCAUUGAGCUUUUAUCAAACAAUCAACUUCAGAAGCUGAAACAUGUACGAGAGUCUGAAGUGAAGGCUUCCAUCAAAGGGUUAUUCGAGAAUUGCAAAAGGAGCAGUUCACAUAAGGUUUCAGUGGAGAUGAAGCACUGGAUUGAGGGCAUUGUACUUGAUAUUAUCAUGAGAAUAAUUGCAGGAAAACGUUACACUUCACAAGACAGUUCUGAUUUUCAAGAGCAUGCGACCAACUUUUUUGACUUGUGUGGUAAGUUUGUGGUGUCUGACGCUUUACCGUUUCUGAGAUGGCUGGAUAUCGGCGGAUACGAGAAAUUAAUGAAGAAGACAGCUAAAGAAUUUGACCUCGUUUUCCAAGGAUGGUUGGAUGAGCAUAAGAGCAAAAGAGGUUCUAGCGAGGUUAAGGGAGAUGAAGACUUUAUGUAUGUGAUGCUGUCCUUGUUUGAUGACAAAGCAAAGCAGCUUCCUGAUGGCGAUGACACUGACACUGUUAUUAAAGCUAUAUGCCUGGUAUUGUCCUGAAAAAAAUUGUUGAUAACAUGUCAAUUGGCAAAGAGCUAUUUUAUAUGCAUAAUCGAUCUGACUCCUACUUUUGCAGUCUCUAAUCUUAGCAGCUUCAGACACUACCGCAGUAACAUUGACAUGGGCUAUCGCCCUACUUCUCAACAACCGCGAUGUUCUAAAGAAGGCUCAAAAUGAACUAGACGCUCAAGUUGGUACAAAUAGACAAGUGAAUGAAUCAGACAUGAAAAAUUUAGCUUAUUUGCAGGUCAUCCUCAAGGAGACACUGCGUUUGUACCCCGCUGGGCCACUUUUAGUACCUCACGAGUCUAUCGAAGACUGCACCAUCAGAGGUUAUCAUGUCCCUGCAGGCACACAACUUAUUGUUAAUGCUUGGAAGGUUCAGCGUGAUCCGGGAGUUUGGGAGGAGCCUUGUAAAUUUCUGCCAGAAAGAUUUCUUAAAAAAUACAAGGACGUUGAUCUGAAGGGACAGAAUUUUGAAUUUAUACCAUUUGGAAGUGGUAGAAGAAUGUGUCCUGGAAUUUCAUUUGCCUUUCAAGUUAUGCCACUAAUACUUGCUUCAUUACUACAUGGGUUUGAUUUUGCAACCCCAUCAGAUGCACCAGUUGACAUGGAAGAGGCAAAAUCCUUGACCUAUGCUAAAGCUACUCCACUUGAAGUGCUUCUUACUCCACGCCUUUCUGCUUCUUUAUAUGAUUAAUUUGGCUUUUGUAAUACUGAAUGUAUGUUUUUGUAUCACCAAUAAGAAGUGAUUAGAUGUGAUAAUGUCUAUUACCCUGAGGGUUUAGUUUUUUUUUUUUUUUCCCAGAAUAUAAGUUGUUGUGCUAUCAAUAAGAAGCGAUUAGAUGUGUGUUUAUUUAUAUAUUUAUAGAACAUUAUGCUAAGUUAUAAUUUGUAGUUAAGGUCUCCAUCUUUAUGGGAAAAAAGUUUUAUAUUUAUCUUAUUAAAGCGCGGGUCCAGAUUUAAAAAAAAAAAAGAUGCAGGGCAGGAUAUGCUAUCCUAACUCAUUUUGUUUGCACCAAACAUAAAAUUAGAUUAAUGUUUGUAAAAACAAUUUAGUCCCCAGCUUUUUAUCCCUCAAGGUAAUUAAUUAAACUAAAAGUUUAUCAAUGCAACUAUUCAUAGUUAAUUAGUUUCUCAUUAAUUUUUUUUACAGUGAUAAAAAUUUCAGCUUACCAGCCCUCUUCGUAAAUUGACGUACUUCAAUUUAUCAAGUGAACUUGAGUGAUGCAGAUCAAGCAAUUAAUUAAAAGGUAAAAGCUCAUUUAGUCCCUAUAUUUUAAGAUUAGUGUUUAUUUAAUCCCUAUAUUUUUAAAAAUGUCUCGAAACAUCCCUGCUGUUAAAGUAUCGAUACCUCUACCGUUACUUUUUAUUAAUUUUUGACUUACUUUUACAAUAUUACCCUUUUAUAAUAUUUUUUUUGUUUGGACAUUAAUAAAAAAAAUAAUUAAAUUAAUAAUUUAACCCUAGAAAAUUAAAAAAAUUAUAUUAAUUUUUUUGUAAGCACCAUUUGGCAUUUGCACACUUGGUGGUUUGCAUAUAAUUUUUAACAAUUUAAUUUUUUAUAAUUAAAAAUUAAUAUAAAUUUACUUUAAUUUUUAGGAUUAAAUUGGUAAUUUAAUUAUUUUCUUUUUAUUAUCCAAACAAAAAAAUUAUUAUAAAAUGAUAAUAUUGUAAAAGUAAGUCAAAAACUAAUAAAAAGUAACGGUAGGGGUAUUAAUACUUUAACGGCAGGGAUGUUUCGAGAUAUUUUAAAAAAUACAGAGAUUAAAUAGACACUAAUCUUAAAAUAUAGGAACUAAAUAAAUUUUUACCCUUAAUUAAACUAAAACAAAUCCUCGUGUACGUAGUAACAUGCAGAUCAGCUCACUAGCCCUCAAGGUGUAAGCUACCGGACUGCACAUUUAUUAGAGAACCAGAAUUCAGAGACAUCAGUGUCCAGGCUAGUGGGCUGUGGCUAUAUGGUAGAUGAAAAUUCUUUUAUUGGCCAUAGCUAAUUUCAGCUGCAGGAAAGAUUAGGCAGUAGGAAAUAUUACACAUAUCCAGUAAUUUUAAGGUUUCAGCAGGUUCGGGCUUUCAGUUCGAUUUAUAAAUUCUGUAGAGCUCUUCUAGUAUACACACGAGUUGAUUACCAUAUUGUGCUAGGACAUUAAUUGGCAAGUCCAAAAUCAAUUGCAGUUGGCAGAAUCUUUAUGACAAGCAGUAAUAAAAGGCGAAUUCUGGAAAAAUAUAAAGGGAUUUUUAAGUUUUGUUAGCUUUCCCAAGUAUUUAUCGCACAAUUCACAGUCCAAUCACACCCAUAAUAUUGAUGCCUUUUUGAUAAUCCUAUACAUUCUGAAGGGGUAAAAUUUGGGCAAAUUUAUUUAUGGACGUGAUUCAGUUCCACAGAAUUUUUAUUUUUAUGGACUUGGAGCGUAAUCAAAGACAAUCGAUAAAAAUUUCUCCUGCUACGAAUUUUGCAUCAGUAAUACUAGCAAACAUCAUGUUAAUUUGCCCCCCGAAAAAAAAAUCANNNNNNNNNNNNNNNNNNNNNNNNNNNNNNNNNNNNNNNNNNNNNNNNNNNNNNNNNNNNNNNNNNNNNNNNNNNNNNNNNNNNNNNNNNNNNNNNNNNNNNNNNNNNNNNNNNNNNNNNNNNNNNNNNNNNNNNNNNNNNNNNNNNNNNNNNNNNNNNNNNNNNNNNNNNNNNNNNNNNNNNNNNNNNNNNNNNNNNNNNNNNNNNNNNNNNNNNNNNNNNNNNNNNNNNNNNNNNNNNNNNNNNNNNNNNNNNNNNNNNNNNNNNNNNNNNNNNNNNNNNNNNNNNNNNNNNNNNNNNNNNNNNNNNNNNNNNNNNNNNNNNNNNNNNNNNNNNNNNNNNNNNNNNNNNNNNNNNNNNNNNNNNNNNNNNNNNNNNNNNNNNNNNNNNNNNNNNNNNNNNNNNNNNNNNNNNNNNNNNNNNNNNNNNNNNNNNNNNNNNNNNNNNNNNNNNNNNNNNNNNNNNNNNNNNNNNNNNNNNNNNNNNNNNNNNNNNNNNNNNNNNNNNNNNNNNNNNNNNNNNNNNNNNNNNNNNNNNNNNNNNNNNNNNNNNNNNNNNNNNNNNNNNNNNNNNNNNNNNNNNNNNNNNNNNNNNNNNNNNNNNNNNNNNNNNNNNNNNNNNNNNNNNNNNNNNNNNNNNNNNNNNNNNNNNNNNNNNNNNNNNNNNNNNNNNNNNNNNNNNNNNNNNNNNNNCGGGAAAAAUAUAUAUAUAUAUCCCCAUCAAGUAAUCAACCUCUUGAACAGAAAAGCCUGAGAUUUCAGAAACUCAAACAGAGAAACUUGACAUUUUCUUAUAGCAUGAUCAAGAUCAUUAUGUACAGUGGGGAAAAACAAAAAACAGAGAAAGUAAGACAGAAAACUCAUGCGUAAUUAGGUUUCAUCUACAAGCACAAUUAAUCACCGAGUAAUUUUUUUAAAAAAUUAAUUUCUUCAAGCCGAAAAGAAACCAUCAAAGGCAGCAAGUGUAAUCUGGCUCUUAGGCUCCAAUACCCACUUGACAAAUUUUCUGAUCUUGAUCCCAUCAGCCACGAUCGAAACAUUAACAACAUCAGCAGUAGUAGCAGCAGCAGUAGCAGUAGCAGGAGCAGCAUUGUUAUUUUGCUUGAUAGUCAUCUCUCUUUCAGCAGCCAGUUUCCUUAAAUUAUUGACCCUCCUCUCAUAUUCUUCAGCAACCAGCAUAGCAAUAUCAGCCAUGUCUCUUUUGAAAUCAAUUAACUUUUUUUAUUUUUGGUAAUUUUUGUUGAUCAAUUGAGCAUUCGAAACUUUUUAUACAAGGGAUUUGUCGGUCGCAUGAAUGGAUAAGACGGACAGGUAAUCCUGUGAUUUUUAAAAAUCAUUUUUUUUAAUUUUUUUUAAUUCGACGUGUGUUGUUUGUUUUAGAACAUGGGUUAGUAGGGGGCUGUUUUGGUUUCUAUCGACUUUGGAAAUGCGCAUCCCAUGUUCUGUUUUUUCAAUUUUUUUUUUGUUUUUUUUUCUUAAAUUGUAAAAAUAGUUAACAUGGGGUAGUUGAAAACUUGAAACGAGCAAACCAUGAUCGGCUUCCUUAUUUAUAUUAUUAUUAUUUUUAGAAGUUGCGUCGAUCAAUUAGAAGUUGAAAUACUCGAAAAAGAAAUAUGCUUUCACACCCACUGAAAAAGACUCGAACUGUCUUAAAUAAAAUAAUUAAAAACAAAGGCUAAUAAUUGAUUUUGGGAUAUUCGAGAAGGGAAAUAUGAGUUCUCAUAAAUUUUUAAAGAUCUUGUGUCAUAUAUUUUUAAAUGAUAGUGUAUGGAUAAGAUUUUAUUUUUUAAUUUUCUUAAUUUUAUUAACUAUCAAUCACCGCAUGUAUAUUUAUUAAGGAGAAGAUUAAAUCAGAAGAGAAUUCUGAUCAAAAUUAAGUAGUUAUUUUUCAAAUUUAUUAUCGUAUUAUUAUUACAAAUAAUGCAACUAGUUUAUUUUCUCCACUUUCGUAAGGUGUACACCAAAAUGGUGUGUUGCGUCAAUCUCAUCACGCUUGAAUCCAUAAGCUGAAAGCCACCCGUACUUUGUUUUAUCUAUGACCUCAGAAAAUUGAUUAUCAAUUCUAAACUUAAGCUUUUCUAAAGUUUUCAAAACUUCCUCUAUAUGUAUCUUCUCCGAAAAUGAGAAGUAUGAAAAUUAUUUAUUUAAAAAAUUUUCUGAUUUCAAAUAAAUAAUUAUUUUAUAUUAUUACAUAUCCUUCAACAUUUAUUAGAAAGUAGUGUGAAAAAUAACUGAGUGCGCACAUUAGUUUUUACUUUAUACCGAACAUCGGCAGGGUGGUGACGGUCGGUGAUAAAACCAUCGACCGAAAACCAUCAAAUCCAAUGAAACAAAAACUGGUGGCAAUUUUGUAAUUGACAACAUAUUUAUAAAACCACUGUCGUGGUAAGAACAAUAGUAAAUUUGAUCAAAGAUGGGCACGCGUCUCUUGAUUGUUAGACAUCACAUGACCCACAAGUCCCCCAAAAUAAUAUUAUAAAUAUCUCCUCCAUCUAGACAAAUCUUGGUUGACAUUGAACGAUUAGCUAGACUUCAAGUUUUGCUCCGACUUUUUCAUUUAUUUAUCAGCAUAUUAGUAAAUGAUUUAAAAAAAAAAAAAUCUUCAACUGCAACUCAAGACCAAUUCUAUUAAAAUGUUGACAGCAAGUCUACUUCUCAUACUGGUUAAAUUGUUUAUGGUAAUUUGCUUGACACAUUGAAUUAGCCACAGCCACGCAUGCUGCUUACAAAUUUUGUUUUUAACACAAAUAAAAAGGCGGUGGUGCCAUUUGGAUAGCUCGUGCUGGAGUUGGUUUCAUCAGCUCCGAUGGCGAUGUGUGGAUGUUCUAAUUGCAUGGGUCAAGAAUCGUGGAAUUGACUAUCCGGCAAAUCAUUUUUGGUUUGGUAUACAUACUAUAUGUUCUGUUUAUGCAUGGUUGGCUCAAUUCAUUCAAUAAAUGAUAAAUAGAUCAAAUAUAAGAAAACCCAUAGGUCCCAAUUAUGACAUUAAAGCAACUUGCACAAUUUAAUCAGCGAUGGCAAUCUUUCACGCAAAAGCUAUGUACAAUAUGUGGAAACAUGAACUUACUUACAACAAUUAAACCUGCGUUUGUGUGAGGUUUAAUCAAUAGGGGCGAUCUUUCACGCGAAGGCCAUGCAUACGAGAUACCAUCAGAAAUAUCAAUUGUCGCUCCUGGUUUUCUUGCAACUAUGGAUAAGCAAGCAGAAAAUUACAGUAGCGUGGGCGACAAAGCAAAGUAAAGGAAAUUUUCACAGGUAACCAUUCACAUAUUCGUAAAUGUAUCCGAACAGCGUAGACAGCGCCUCAGAUUUUCAUCUGGAAACUGUAUAAGACUCGUUUUUGAGAUCUACAUGAAUCGAAAGCAACAUAGUAAAGACUGACCUACCAAAAUCGACAGUCAGUCCGUCUUUGCAGUAUAUUAGUCUUGGAAACCAAGACUAUGAAUCCUUCAAAUUAUAGGAGACCUAGCGAUUUCAGCUGCUGAACAUGCUCAGGUGGGAGAGGUGCCGGAGACCAAUCAGAUCCUGUCAUCUCGCCAUCAACAUCCUCAACAACAUACUCCUGGCAUAACACAUCAGAGCAGAUUCACAAGAAAAUCAAAUAAACUACAAUACACAAUGACUGCAAAAUUAAAUUUAAGAGUACAUAAGCUACAUCUUUAGAUGAUAUUUCAAAGCAUCAAUAACGCAAGCCAAUCAAAAGGCUAGUCAAAACAACUCAAAACAUACUUUAUUUUAUUUUUUGGCUAAAGAGAAUUAAUGGAAGUUUGGAUGCCAAAAAGAAGUGAAGUCAAUGUAAAAGAUAAAACCUCAGAACUUAUAAGCACACUUGUCAGGACAAAGAACACCUGCUUCACUUGACGCGACAUUUUUUUUUUCCCCUUCAAAACAAAUGAAAUUUUAUUGCCCCAUCCAUUGGUCUAUUAAUUAAACCAUCAUUCGUCCAAAAAAAAAAAGAUUAAAGAAGUGAUACUAUUUUUUUUAUAAUUUUCCAGUUGCUUGAAACAAAUCUAUUUUCAGCGGUUCAGUUGAAGCUAGAAAGUUAAUGCACCACAAUGAGGCAAUCUUUUUAUAACAUCGCAUAAAGAGGAAAAAAGUAGCAUCAUUAUCACCCAACUUACUUUUGUUAGCAUUCGUUUUGCAAGUAUGUGAUAAUGCCGCUGCCAAAUCCGCUGUCCAACCAUUGUAGCCACCAAAACACUGUAGAAUAUUCCAAUCACAGUAAACAAUCCCAGCACAAUCAAAGCCAUUAUGAAUAGCAGCGGUAGCCCUGCUUCACCAGCACCGCUCAGGCAACCACAUUCACUUGCUGUACUCGCACAACUCUCAAAGCAUGUGGUACAGUCAGUCCACAUACAAAGCGUUCCAGGCAAAUGGCAGUCUGCACAUAUUCUGCAUGCAUAACAUAUGAAAAGUAAACAUCAAGUUCAUCACCAAUUAGCUUUCUCCUGAUAAUCACACAACCUAUCAGAUACUUUUCCAAUUGUAAGAACUACUCAAUUAGUUUAUAUAUUUGAAAUAUAGGGGAAAAAAAAAAUACAAGUGAUUGUAAGUUCUUUCUACCAAUAAUUAACUCUAGCAUACACUCUUCAUACGCAUAAAGGAAAUCUAUCCCCAUAUUUUACACUAUUUUAUCAACCCAUAUUGCCUCUUGCCCCAGCAGUUGGCACACUUUCUCAUGACAUUAAUAAUAGGAACCUAGGCAUUAAUAAUAGGAACCUAACUUACAGAAAAAAAAAACUACACUGUUGUUUUUUUAUGCAUCACUCAUCAAUUUCUUCUUUAACAUUAAACUUUUUAUUAAACAAGUCACAACCAUGAGGUCAUUUAUCUCAUAAAUACACAAGAUGGGAUUAUGGGGCAAUGUAGACUUAAUUUGUUACAUACUGUAAUUGCACAUGCAUGUGUGUGCAUACACUUAUCAAUCUUUCUUCUCUCUCCCUCCCUCUCCUGCUCUCACAAUGCAAAUAUAAGAGAGGCAGCUAUUUCCACAAAAUACGAAUCAACUAGCAAAAGUCUAACCAAAAAAUUUCAAAGGAGAAACUCAGAAUAAAGAAGUUCAUUCCUUAAUGAAUUCAAAUUCACAACUUAUAAAACAAUUAUGCGCCUAUUUUCUAAAAAGAACAAAAGGGCAAAUGAUUAUUAAUCAUUCUCUGCAGAAUAUGAACAAUGAACAUGACUAUAUAAAAGAACCAACAAAUUAGUAUAUGCAGAUCCCUACAAUGACACAAGAAAAUAGGAACGUCUUAUAGGGCAUCAGUUGUGCAGAUGACAGCAAAUAAUGGAGUAGAGUUAUACCCGGGCUGACAGCAACAAAGACAUAAUUCUCUACAAGGUUGAGCCAAGUCAUUCCGCACUCUGCGGUCAUAACAGGUAAUGAAGCAUCCAGAUAACCCCAGCAAAGCAAAAAACAACAGUGCUCCUGCAGCAAAAAUAAAAAAGAAAUGUAAAAUACAGACAUCAAGAGCUUUGACUAUCAUGGCAGAAGAUUUAAACAAUGGUCAAACCAUGAAUCUAAAAGCAUCAAGUAUGCUUAGAAGCAUGCACAUGCCAAUUACCACUAAUGGAUAUAAUACUGUUGUUACUCUCUCCCAAAGCAAAAGAUAAUCAAGAUUUCUGCCAGCCAGCCGCGGGCACAAAACUGAUCCCAGCAUUUUGGUGCACACACGUAUCAGAUUCCCAAAAAGUCAUUCAACCAUCUAAAUCUCAAUCCUAGUCAAGAUUUUUAUCCCUAUAACUCAAUCAGAUGCCAACUUACUCUUUAAAACUGAAACGAGGUCUCACACUUCAGUUGAGAAAAUGUUUUGCUACCAAAAUCAGUGGCAGAGCCACACAGUGGCCAAAGGGGGCAGCCGCCGUCGCCGAGUUUAAUUAAAAAAACAUUUUUUUUAAUUUAACCCAAAUUUUAUAUUUGCCCCCAACAAAAUUUGUGAUUUUUCCCUAUUUGCUUUAAAUAAAAUACAUAGCAAUAGGUCUAAAACUUUAAUUUUUAUCAUCAAAAUCAAUUUAAACAAGUACAUUAUACCCAAAUUCAAUGAAAAUACUUGAAAAGAAGAUGGAAUUCUUUAAUUUAAGAAAGCUUCAAAUAGCAUUUGCACAUCAUAAAGUAUGUUAAAUGGAAUUUCAAAACUUAAAAAGGUUUAGUGAAACCCAAAAAUACCAGAAAAUAGAGGCAACCUUUAUCACCCAAAACCUUGUCAGCAAAUAUGAAAUGCAAGAAUUUUUUUUCAAAAUGAGUAUAUUUAAAUUCCAAAACAGUUGAGAUAUGACACCAUUUUUUCCACCCGAAGCAAUGAAAAAUUUACACAAAUCUAAAACCUCGCAAAGGUGAAUGAUGUUGUUCAGCCAGUUCUGCAUAAAACUUUAUUAAUCUAACUCUCACUUUCAGAACUGCCCCACUACAAGAAAAGCAUACCAGAAAAUAACAGAUAACAGAUAACAGCAUCACAUUACAUUACAUUGCAAGAGAUUUCAUCCCAACACAUAAGAGGAAUCAUUCCAUGACACUGCUAACCAGACAUAAGAUAUGUAGUUAAACUGGCUAAAGCAAGUAGCCACAAACAUAAUAAAGAAUAACCUGCAAUAAACAGUGUCCUACAGCAAAUUCACACAAGAUGAAGACCAGCACUGUUCGAAAGUAGCAUAUCAAAGCCUUAAUAAUCAUUAUCAUUUCAGGUUCUUGAGAUUUUUACCACAUAUGUAGUAGAAACUGAGCUCACUAUCAAAACCCCAUGCCAGACGCAGCCAGGACUGCUGAUAAGUAUCAACUAAAUACACCAAAUAUGCCAGUGAAGCAAUUACCUAAGCACAAUGAAUGAAAAAACAGGAAAAUGAAAAUCCUAGGGGAAAAAAAUAUUUACCAUUACGAAAUAACAAAAAUUGCAAGAAAACAAGUAAGAUUAAAGCACCAACAACUUACAAGCUGGACAGCCAGAAAUAUAGAUAUGAUGUCUCUAGUCACAAAGAAACGAAAUUUCAAGGUUCUCCAUCGCCUAUCAGCAGCAACAUGAACUCUCAAAUGGUAAGGGGCUUUACAGGUUGUGCAAUGAGCAAAUGCAAACCCUUCCUGUAAGUAAAAAAAUGAUUAAAUAAAAAUAGAACACAGCUAAAAAGAACCAUGCCAGAUAAAAGCAAGAACCACAAUGCAGCUAAAGAUCAGAAGAGUCUUCCCAGAAAAGAAAUUACUGGGUAAAAUCCAAAUAGGGCCAAAGUAGUAAUUCUUAAAUGGACGAAAAUGAUAUUACCAUAUGGAGAUUGUUUGCAAGGAGAAACUAAGAAACAUAAAAGAUACCAUUUCAAAAGGCUGUAUAACAAUACAGUAUGUUCUGUAUCCCAUUAAGUAAGUUUAGAGUGUCCAUAAAUUACAGCAUUGAAAUUUUUUGGUAUACUUUUAUAUAAAACCAGUUUCAGACUAUAAUAAAUCAGGUGCUAGCUACGCAAAGAUCACUGAGAUCACACAGAAACUAUAAACUGAGCAUACUGUGAAUGGUUCUAGAUUUCUAAACCAGAAAAUCGAGAUGGCAUCAAUACCCUUACGGCUCGCCAAUGAUCCAAACAUUCUCGGUGUACAUACUUGGAUGUUCCUUUGCACUUGCAAGGAGCAAUAAAGUCCCUACCUGAAGAAAAUGCACAUGAAUAUAUAAAAAUGAGAGCAUUGACAUGUAUUUUAACUCAAAGUUAAAAACAAGGAACAUACAAGAUUAUCAUUUAUCACUCUAUAACAGCCAGAUAACAUUGGCAUCAACAUCACAGUGAAAAGCAUUUCUGAACUAGACUGUGACAAAACACCACAACUACAAAACCUAAGUGUGUUUAAGAGUUGCUUUUAUCAGUCUCAAAUAGCUAAAAAUGCAAUCAUUGAUCAUUGUCAGAAACGCACAAAACUAUAUAUAUAUAUUUUUUUACUAGGGCAAAGCACUUCCAGGUGGUUUUCCAACAGAAGCACUCCCAAAAAUCAUCCCAUAGUUGACUUCACUUCAUAAAUUCCUAAAACCAACAAAAAAAUUUUUAUAAUUAUUUCCUCACAUUUUCCAGCAUUUAACGGAAAAAAAAUAACCUACUUAUAUUUUAUUUUAUUUUCGCAUAAAGCUUCACUGUGAAGUUGCUUCAUUUUUCUUCUAAUUUCAGUUAAUUCUCCUAAUUCUUUCUCGAAUUUGAAAAUUAAACCAACUAAUUCACUCACUGAUACGAAGCAAAAACAUAAAUAAAGCUAAAACAGAGCAAAUGUCGGCUACAAUUUUAAAAAAAAGUUUUACAAAAUUGAGUAAUUUCGCUACAAUUACCGUCAGUUUCGAGGCAAAUACGGCACUGAAUUUGUUCACCGGGGCCGGCUUCGAGGUCGAUCUCACUGGGCUCGGUGAUUGUCGGCGGCGGGAUCAGCGGCGACGCUUCGGAUUUGUCACCCAUCGAAAUUUAAUAAUUAAUUGUUUUUAAGGACUCGAAAAAUGAAAAUAGAGCGAGAGAGAUCAAGACUACAUUUACAGAAAAAUCAUUUAGUUAGAUUUCUUAAAACCCCAAUUUCGAUUUUAAAAAAAAAAGAAGAAAAUUUGUUGAAUUUUUUUCUUUCUCUCUCUCGCUCUGAGGGAGAGAAAUUUUCAACGUAAGUGACGGGUUUUUCUGGUGGCAAAAGAGAGCAUCAGGAUUUGUUUUUAAAAAAAAAUUAAUCAACAAAACAAACAAAAAGUUCCUACGAGAUGGUGGAAUUAUUGAAUUUCCAUAACUGCCCAUCUGUUUUUCACAUUUUGGCAAUUAAAUGAACUCUCACACUUACUGAGAUUCAAACACUCUUUUUAAUGGGUUAAAAAAUAAUAGUCAUCAUUUUAUAAUUUAUUACAUUAUAUAUACUUUUUUUCGAAUUAUACUUUUUUCAUCGACAAUCACUAUCUACAUCCUCAAAAUCAAAACAUUUAUUUCUUUAAUUUUAAAUUGAGUUAGAUUUUAAAUUUUAUAUGUCAAAAAAAAUUUACGUAUGAUACUCUCAUUAUAGAUAAAAAUUAAAAACUUUAAUUAUAUUUAAAUUAUCAUUUACGAUACUACCCAUUUAUAUUUAGAUUUCUAUUUACUAAUUAUGAAUUUACACACAAUAAUUUCAUCUAAUAGCUAAGGAGCUAUUAAUUUUAAUUCUAGUCUUAUUGCUCUUGUAAAGAGAUACAAAUUUAAGAAGAGAAAUCAAAAUUUUUCAUAACAUAGAAAUAAAAUAGUAAAUGACUCCAAUCUUGAAAUUGACUUCUGCUUCCGCGCGUGGGAAAAAUACAAGGUAGUUGAAGAUUUGACGUUAACAAUUAACAAGGCUUGGGAAAAAAAUUAAUAAAUGAAAAAAUAAAUCAAAUUAAAUUGUCUGAGCCCGGGUUCGAACCGGGGACCUCUAGUGUGUGAGACUAGCGUGAUGACCAACUACACCACCCAGACGAUGCCUAAUGUUUGGCAAGUUUUUAGUUUUCACUUUAUUUUGUAUUUUAAAGUCCCUAACCCGUUAAAAGCAACACAACCCAACACUCUGUUUUCUCCUCUUCCUUAUCAAUCUCACCGAACUCGAAGUCGAGAGCAGCUGAAGUGCUGAACCCUCUGUUUUCUCCUCAAAACCCUAGGAACGUUUUCAGCAAUGGCGAAAAUCAACAAAGUUAAGAAACUAAAACAGGCAACUACGAGCCAAAAACCCAACAAAAAAAUACUCAAAAAAGAACCCAAAUCCCUCAAAAAACCCGAACCGCCUCCCGUAGCCGCCGCCGCCGCCACCAGCAGCAGCUGCAGCUCAUCGUCCGAAUCGGAGUCUGAACCGGAGUCAGAAUCCAUUUCAAGCCUCCUCGAACCUUACUCCAAGGACCAGCUCAUCGACCUCAUCACCGCCGCCGCCACAAAAAUCCCGCUUUUGCACGACCACAUUCUCGAAACGGCCGACAGGGACGUGUCCCAGCGGAAAAUAUUCGUUCACGGGCUCGGAUGGGACACGACGCAGGAGAGUUUGUUGUCGGCGUUCGGAGGUUCCGGAGAAAUCGAGGAGUGCAAGUUGGUGAUCGAUAAGGUGACCGGAAAGGCAAAAGGGUUUGCUUUUAUUGUGUUCAAAACGAGGAAAGCGGCCGUGAAAGCGUUGAAGAAUCCGCAGAGGAAGGUGAAUAACCGAAUGGCGUCUUGCCAGCUGGCGUCAGUGGGCCCCACUGGUGCCGGGGUGAAGGAGCAGGGGGCGGCGGCACAGGGGGAGAGGAAGAUUUAUGUGAGCAAUGUGCCGAGAGAUGUUGAAAAGGAGAAAUUGAGGGGGUUUUUUGAGAGAUUUGGUGAGAUUGAAACCGGACCGAUAGGGUUUGAUAUUACCACUGGGAAGUCAAGAGGAUUUGCAAUUUUCGUGUAUAAAACUGUUGAGGGAGCGAGGAAGGCUUUAGAGGAGCCGCAGAAGAUGUUCGAAGGGCAUCAGUUGCAAUGCCAAAAGGCAGCUGAGGGAAAGAACAGGACGAGUAGUAAUAGUAGUAGCAGUAAUAAUCAAGCACAGAUGAUGAUUCAGAAGCAGCAACAGCCAAUGCUUCAGGGGCAACAGCAAGGGCAAGGGAAUGAGCAGGAGCAGGUGCUUGCUGCUAUGGCAGCAGCACAGAAUUUGGCUUUGUUCGGGCAGCAUCCGGGAAUGCAUCCGUUGUAUGGAGGGUUUUUGGUGAAUCCUGGGUUGAUUAAUCCAAUGGUGGCUGGUGCAUUGCAUCAGGGUGCAAUUCCUGCUAGUAAUGUGGGUGCAAUGGCUGGUUCGUCAGUGCUUGGAUCAUUCGGGCCUGGUGCUGCUCAGGGGUUGCAGCAGCAGCAGCAUGUUUAUCCGAAUGCUCCGCAGAGUAAGACUCAGGGGACUGGUGGUGGGUCAUUUCCUGGGUAUACUUCAUAUAUGUGGUAUGGUUUAUUGUCUUUGCUUGAUUUGUUAUUUGUUUAUAUUUUUGUGAAUUUUGAUCUUUUGCAUGCUUAGUUUUUUUUUUUAAUGCUUCUACAAUAUUUGUUGAUUUAGCACAUACUUUCUUUUGUUUUAAUAUGUUUUCAUUUAGAUUUGAAAAUUUUGAUAUUUAGUACUAUUAUGUUUAGAUUUUCUGAUUUCUUAAGUCAUUCUUUAUUACUCGAGAGGAAUUGAUACAUAAACCUAUUUAUAAAUUGGUUUUGGUACAUUGCUGUUUUGAGUUGCUGCAGUUUAAGAUGUUUUUACUCUUUAUAUUUUGCCCCCUGUUUAUCUUAAUGAGUCCACAUUUUUACCCAGCUUUUGAUUUCAUUUUUCAUAUGUGUAAAAACAACAAUAUUUGUUGUCUCUCCUUCUUUCUUCAGUCAUUCUUUGGCCAUGGUACUUGUUUUUAUAUUGCCAAGAAAAUUGUUGUCUUAUUAUUAUUUUUUUUUUUGGUUUUCUUCUAGUGAGUUUCUUCAAGAGUUCUUUCUAGUUUUGUUAAGUCUUCUCUGCAGAUUUGUCAAGACAUGGAAUUAUAUGCUAAUUUUUGUCACUUCUUAAUACUCUAUCCUAUUAUUUGCAAUUUGUAGAGUAGCUUCCGUCUCCUUAUCUUUUCUUAUUGAUUUCACUGAUUGUGGAAGUUGCUUUCAUGCAAUUGUUUCUCCUCAGCCCACAUCAUUCGUUUGAACGAAAAAACCCUUUUAUUGGUGUAGUUGAGUUAGCAUAAUCAAUUUCAUUUGUUCUGUUUGGUAGAUUUUUGGUCAAUAGUUGUGAUCUUUUAACUGUUUUGGGUCAAUAUGAUGUGUGCAAGUCUUGAUCUCUGAUUUUUUACUUUUUCGAGCCUUAACUUUUGGAAGUUUUUGGUAAAUAUAUUUUAUCUGAGAAGACAAUAUCAUUUAUGAUAUUUACUGUCAUUACGUGUGUGGGCUCUAUUUGCAGAUGAUACAGCUGAGCUUGAGGAACAAUAUUCAUGCACCUUUGGAAGUGUUUUAUGUAGUACUUUGUUCUGGUUAAAUUGCUAAGUGACAUUUUGAAGUUUGUAAUCUUUUUAAAUGAUUCAGACUUUUGAAUUCGGCCAAAGCAAGGCCAUAACUUAGUGGAUUUUUCUUCUUCUACUUCAUCUCUGCUUCUUUUUACCCCCUUUUUUUCCCCCCUCUUACCUUUUCCUCUCCUUGUUUCUUAGCUUUCGUAUAUUUUAUCUUCUAAACAUUGGUAACUUAUGGUUUUUAUUUAGCAAAUUUUAAUUUCUUUACAUUAUGGUUCAAUUUAUUUUCAACAUUUCAUUUUUACUUGUCAAGUAUUUGAAUGUCACACUAUGAAUUUAUUUGCUGUCAUUGUUCCAUCUGGCUUGUGAUUAGUCAAUGGUUUUGAAACGCUGGACUGAUUUUCUUUUCUUGUGAAACACAUCACUACUUUGUUUCUGAUUGACAUCAUUAACGCUUAGGCCUUAUUACAUAUGUUAUACAGUUGAUAUGAGAUACUCUUAGCAUCUAACCCUUUUCUUGGAUUGAGUUAGUUUCAGGACAUACCAUUUGUUUUCUUUCUAUAUGCACUCAGUGAAAGCAUUUGAAGGGAUGUAUAGUUGUGUUUCAGUGCAUCUGUAAACACUUGUUUAUCUGUAAUUAUUUAUUCAUGUUCAUUUUGUUAGUGUUGUGGACGUACUUGUGGAAAAAACCACUUACAAUAAAUAAAAGCAAACCAUAGGCCUACGUAUCUCUUAAUUCUUUAGUAUACCAAAGCAACUAGUUAACGCAGUCGCUGCCAUGCACUGUCAUUCAUUAUUCAUGAACAUCCUUUGAUGAAGUAUGUGUAUGGUUUGAACUUUUAGUUUAGUUGGAUCUCGAAUUGCAUUUUUGGAUCCGAAAUUAUAAACUUUUGGGAUGGAUCAACCAAAAACUUUAGUUUUGAAGCUUUUGGUUUUAAGAAAGUCUUAUGCCUUUUAAUCUAUGAAGCUUGAUGUAUUUUAAGAGUUGAAUAUUUCAGUAAUAUAUCUUAAAUAUUUUCAAUUUAGUCGAGUGUGAGACUAAAGUUGUUUCCAAAUGAAAUUAUGUAAACCACAUUUUGUGGUUAUCUAAUGGGUUUAUAGAUGGACUUUAAACAUUUUAAUUGGGCAGUUCUAUAUAUGGUUUCCUUGAAUCUGAUAUUUUCUCUUUGCCUAAUUAAAAUGUAUAAGAUCCAAGCCCAAUGAAACCAGUUAUAUGUGGGUAGGUAGAUCUGAAAAAAGAAUAAUCAUAUAAAUCUUCCACAUUUUCCUGUUAUAUUUUGUGAUGAAGCUAUGUUUUUACCACAGAUUCAAUCAGUUCUAGUAUAAUAUCAUACUAUUCACCGUUUUCUUUUUAUGGUGAUGGUUAUAGCGAUCAGCUUACUGUCAACUAUGAACAUGCUUGCCCACAAAUUCAAUUAGCCAUAUAAGCUUUAAACUUUUUUCCCCUUUGUUUCAAAUGCAAUCUUCACCAUUGUUACAUUUUUAUAGCCUUAGUUGUGCCUGUUGUGUCAAGUUCUCUUUGUUCAAUAUGUUUAUAUAGCUUUCCUCAUCAGCAGAAUCUAAGUGAGACUUUUUUACAGCCCUGUAAUUGUAUACAAAUUAUGUCGUUUGCUUUUGUAAUAUCAUGAUAAAAAUGAUGAUUUUGGUGUGUUUCAAAUAGCUGAUCUCAAAUUGUUGGUUCCAUAUUUCUUUCCUCUCUUGCAUUUUAUUCUCUACUGGCAGUCUUGUUCAACUGUGAUCGCUACAACCUCUCCGUUUCAAACACAUAGGUUUAUGUGUUGCAUCUUGUCGUCUUUUGCAAAUAGGGUUAUAAAAAAAUUUAGUGUUUAGAUAUUAGUUGGACUGCGUUGUGGCCCUAUAUAAAUAUGUCCUUUGCUUCUGCAUUUUCAAGAUUAAAUUUUUUUAAAAAAAAAUUGAUUUUGGUAUGUUUAUUGUCUCGAAAUGGUUGGUUCCACUUCCAGGUCUCUUUCCUCUCUUGCCUUGUGUUCUAUACUUGUAGCCAUUUGUAGUACAAUGUUGCUAUUUCUGUUGUUAUUUCCCCCUAGUCAAAUCUCGAAAAUCUCACAAAAACGACGUCGUUUCGUUUUGAUCUUUUUCUUUUUAAUUUUAGCUGCUAGCACUGUGUCGAGCAAUCCGUUUCAAAGCACAUGACGUCAUUCGUUGUUCUCCUUCAAUCCGUCUCAAGCACAUUGAGUGCGAGCAUAUUCUUUGUCCUUCGAUUUCCUUUCAACAACACUCCAGUUACAAAACCCUAAGUACAAAACUCUUAAAAUGCAAAACCUUAAUUGGUUCCUCAAAGUUGGGUGCAAAACUUUUAAAUUGCAAAACCCCAACUAGUUCUUCAAAGUUAGUUUCAAUUUGUACGUGGGUUUUGACAUAAGGUAACAUAUUAGUUUUUUAACGUUUACUUUACUUGAAUCUUGAGCUGGUUCGCGUGAUGGUUGUGGUUCGUCGUCUGUGGCUCGUAUGACGGCAAUUGUUGCCGGAGAACUCGAGGAAUGUUGAGAUUGUAGAUUUUGUGGCUGUGAGAGUUUAUUCAAAACGGUUCAUUUCGGCAUGCCCACAGCAGACAAUAUCUUAUUAGUUUUGGGUUAGGUCAUGACAAAUUGUAUUAGAGCAACUUCGCGUGUCCUCUUGAGCGAUAGUGAGGCAAACCUCAGUGAGGACAUCGAGUCCCUAAGAGGGGUGUGUAUAACACCUUAGGCAAAUCCUACAUCAGCAAAGUACGGGAGAGAUGUUGGGUUUAUAAGGGGUGAUCUAUACCUUAAUUAGCAAGUUGCGUUUUGGAGUGUAUAGGCGCCUUAGAAAUAAAAUCGUGCGGACUUUGUUAAGGUCUAAAGCGGACAAUAUAUUGUUAGGUCUGGGUUGGGUCAUGGCAAAAACAAAACCAAAACAAAAUGAACUGUUGGUUUUGAAUGAACUAGAUCUGGGUUGGUUUUGUUUCUUGAAGCCGAAACGAACUGAUUUGAAUAAACUCUCACAGCCACAAAAUCUGUAAUCUCAACAUUCCUUGAGUUCUCCAUCCACAAUUGCAAUUGCUCACAACUCAUAGCCAUCACAUGCGCCACAGAUGAUGGACCACAGCCAUCAUGCGAGAUUCAAGUAAAGUAAACGUUAAGAAAUCAAUGAGAUUCAAGUAAAGUAAACGUUAAGAAAUCAAUACGUUACCUUAUGUUAAAGUCCACAUACAAAUUUGUCGGGGUUCUGCACUCAAUUUUAAGAAAUCAAUUGGGGUUUUGUAAUUUUAGAGUUCUGUACUUAGGGUUUUGAACUCCAUUGGAGCUAGGGAAAAAUGGAAUUGCAUUCAAUUGACUAAACCACUUUUCAAGCGGACAAAAAUGCUUUCGUGUUCAUCUUUUAAGCUUUUAUUGAAUCGGCGAGGGCUUUUUUAUUUUUUCUAAUGAUUACAAUCUACAAAUAUAUUAUAUUCGAGGUCUACUAUGUAGGACUAUCGAGAAAGUUUGAAAACCCAAUGUCACUGACAAUAUGGGGCGGAAUCAUAUUUUAUAUUUUUGAAAAGGGCAAAAAGAGCCAUCGGAGCUCGACAGUCAACAUUAUAAUAAAGGUUGGAGUUAUGAGAGUUAAUUGUAGUCUUCUCUUAAUUAUUUUAUAAUUAAAUAAAAACAGUUUUUGUCCUCACGAAUUAUGAGUAGAGUAGAUAUCUCUUUAUUAAUGAGGGUAAAAAAUUUAAGAAUUCUUUAUAAGAUUAAUGUAUAUAAUUUCUAAUAGUAUAAUCUUAUUGUAAAUAAUAGUUAAUUCAGUUGUAUCAAUUGUAAUCUAUUGUAAUAUCAACAAUAAUCCUUCAAAUCAAUAUUAAGAAAAAAAAAAUUAUAACACUGUUUCAGAGUAUCAUCCCGCUAUUGUUCUGUGAGAGAAGUACUACUGGCAUUUGGAAACAGCGAUUUUGGCGUCCUUGCUUUGGAGAUCAAUGAUUUUGGUAUUUCUUACGAAAAGAGCUUUCCACUAAAAGCACUUUGCAAAGGCGUAUUAGUGAAGGUGACACUUGUUUCUUAUGAUGCAUUUAGAGUACUUUAUGAGAAAAGAGCUUUCCACUAAAAGCACUUUGCAAAGGCAUAUUAGUGAAGGUGACACUUAUUUCAUUCUAUGCCCUAAAUUUGGAGAUAUAAUUUGCUAGAAAUGUCGCACACAUGCUCUGAACCCUUUAUGCUUUUAAAAUGAAAAGCAACUUGAUUUAUACGACGGAGUUCGGACUAUCUGCUAAUUGUCAUUUUGAAAGUGAUUCAGCAUCAGCAACCAUGCCGUUAGUUCUGAGAAACCAAGAUUAAAGUAGCUAAAUCAUAAUCAUAACAUUCUUUUUCGGAUUAAAUCGUUGAUGCCGCAGCUCGAAGUUCUACAUUACUCUAAAUCGUACAAGGAAAUAAGAGAAUUAUGCUUAAAACCAUUACCCUAAAAAUGGCCCCCUCAUAAGCUAAACAUAAUCAUAGAAAGUUAAUACAAGUCACAAAGAGACAGUAUUUCGGAGGAGGCCCUGCCAUUUAUCUAGUUCACUUCUUCCUCUUCUUUGGUGGCUGAAGAGCUUCAUCAUCUUCGUCUUCCUCAUCCUCUUCAUUCUCUACUUCUUCCACUUCAUCCUCAUCCUCGUCCUCGCCCCCAUCAUCGUCGUCGUCAUCAUCCUCAUCAUCGUCAUCGUCAUCAUCUUGCUCUUCACCCUCUCCAUCUUCAUCGUCUUCCUCUUCACCAUUCUCUUCGGCACCGCCUGCCCCUGCCCCUGCCCCGGCCCCUUCUCCAGGACCUUUCUUGGAGUUACUUUUCUUGUUGUUGGAGUUAUUGUUGCCAUAGUCCCCUUCAGAUGAUAACUCCUCUUCACCAUCCCCAAACCCACCAUCUCCAUCCUCAUCAUCAUCCCCAUCAUCAUCAUCGCCAUCAUCCCCCUCUGCAUCAGAUGGUUUGCCUUGGGUUUCUGGAUCUUCCUUGAUUCUAGGUUUCAUAGUCAGCAAGGUCCAAAAGAGAUCCUAAGUCCAAAAGCCAAUUUUAUUGGGUGGAUGAAACAAUUAUAAUAUAUUAAAAACAAAGCAUUAAAUUAUGAUAUUUAUUGAGUUGGUACAAGUUAACGGUCCUACAAGCAGAAUAAGUUUGAUCUUUACAACUACUAUAUAAGGUAAAAUGAAUAGAAAGUUGCAAUUAUAUUUUUUUUUGGAAUAUUGAUGAAAUUAAACAAGGGACAGCAAAUAAUCUAAGAUUCUAAGUUCUUUAUUCUAUCAUCCCAAAAGCUUGGUCGCUAUAUGACCUUGGUGGCAAAGGAAUAUGUGUUCCUGCCACUUGAGGAAAAGAAAAAAGUGCUUUUAUUCUACCCAAAAGUAGGUUGAGGCAUUAAAUUAGUACAGUCCCACCCAUAUGCUCUUUUUCGGAAGAAUAUAAUUUAGAUGGUGACACCAGAAGAACAAGAACUAGGCAGGUCCCUUGCUAUUUUCAUCGAUUCCUUUACGAGCUAAAAUGGGUCAGAUAUCUGUAUACGAAAGAAAAGAAAUGGCGGCAGAAUAACAUCCCCUUAUCUGGGGAUCAAAGAUAUCUAAAUGGAGAAAUUCUCAUUAAUUCAAUAUUUAUAACUUGAAAAUUAUUUUAUCGAAACAAUUUAUAUUGUUGUCCAACACGCCUGAAAUUAAUACUAAUUCAUCUGAUUUGAUAGAAAAUUAACAAAAUCUCUAAAAGCGUUUGUUAGCGAAUCAUUAUGGAACAAACAAUGAAGAGGCUUUUGGCUAAAAGUAAUAAAAAAUGUUAUAUUUCAUAAAAAUUGUAAAUAUUAAUUCUACACCCAACGAAUAACACGUGUUCGACGACAAGGACGGCAUCGCCGAAUGGAAUAUUCGAUGUCCCAUCUUCGUUCAAUUAUAGUUUUUUGUGAAGACAUUUUGACUUUGGACUUCUGCAUAUUAUUAUGUUCCGAUAAAAACAUAUUUUAAUUAUUUUAAGUGGGCCCCACGACGCUUAAAACCCUGGAACUCAAAACCAUCCUAAAAUAACAACUAAAUCUUUCUCUCAAGUUCCGUUGCUUUUCAUUUUUCCCCCAAAUUUGGGAGGCGCAUGCUAGCCCGCACAGCGUACUAUGACUUUCCCUAUUUUUCAUUUUUCUUACCUUAAAAUUCACAAAAUUCGUUAUCUAAAAGAACUCCGAACUUUUGAAAAAUUUUAAACAAAAACAGUGGCUUCAAAAGUUCAAAUUUGUCAGAAAAUAAAUCCAAAAAUAAUGAAAUAUACUGAAAUCAGAUAUUAAAAAAAAAGAAAAUUUGUCAAUCAAUUUUCAGUUGCAGGAAUUUUUUUUUCAACGGCGCACGUUAGCCAACAAAUAAUAUGAUAACCAAAAUCAGCCGCGCACCCGCGCAAAGCAAAAAAGCACACAAACGGAAGAAAGAAGCGUUGAAAAGACACCACCAGAUACAGGCGCAUGAUAGCACAGCAACGUUAAAAAAAAAACUAAAAAUAAAGAGUUUCUUUGGAAAAACUUACCUGCGCUGUUAAGAGUUGAGCUUUGACCAGAGACGAAACUAGCCAAGUCACGAGCGCCUGCACCGUGCAGGUUACCGAACCGUUAUUGACCGUUACUGUCACUGAACCGUGGCGACUCGCCAUUUGUACGGCAAAGAACAGACAAACAAAUAACUAAAAAAAAAAAACCUGCAAAAUAAUUGUAAGCCGGUAACCGUUAGAUCCCCUUAUGAGCAGCUUUUCAGCCAUCAGAUCUCCUACAGUCCAGUAUCACUAAACGACAAAACGACGACAAAAAAUAGAAAUUUGCAUAAAUUUUUUAUAGAAGAAAUAAAACUGAAAUUAAAGCUUUAAAAAGUAAUUUUGAAAAUAUAGAAACGAUAAGAAACAACUUUAAUUCGGUGCAGAAGAAUUUGAACUUGAAUUUUGAGAUAAAUAAGCAAAAUUAAACGAAAUUCGCAUGGAAGAAGCUCGUUUUGAAAGAGAAAUGAAGAGCAAGAGCAGAAGAUUUGAUGCUCGAAAACAAGCUUUGAACUAGAGGAAGUCAAGAGUAAAAUUGAAAGGGAAGAGCGAAUCGGAGAGCGAGAGCGUACCGGAGACGGAGAUCUGAGGGAGGAGGGGCGAGAUCUGAAGAUUUGAAGCUCUAAAACUGAAGAAAAGAAGCAAAAGCAGCUGCGUUCAUUUUGGACCGUCCGAUCUUGAUCGAAGAGACGCUGGGGUGAGCAAAGAGAUAUAGAGAAUAAUAUCUAUUGCACACGAGAGAGAGAAGGGGGUGGGGGGUGGGGUGGAAGCGAGAACUGGUGAGUGACUGACUGAUUGCUGCCCGUAAUUUUCCAGUCACAGGUUUCGGGCAAAAAGGGGCAGGGCGGGCAGCGUCCUCAUCGUAUUAAAAUGACCUCUGGGUUCUGUCUGCCCGGAUUUCAGGGUAAGGACAAGUGUGGGUUAUCUCUGUGAUAUUUUAUUAUAUUAUUCGAAUUAUUUAAUGACUUUUCCUUCCUAUUACUUACCUUGCUUUAAACGUUUUCCACGUGGCAUAUUCUGUUUUGUCCGUUAGUUGGCAUGCGUGACCGCAGUUUUGGUGUAGUUGACUUUGGAUAAGAGUUAAUCUAACUAGAGUCAACUUACUUCGAAUGUAUAGUUGAGUACUUGAGUUAGAUCGAUCGUGAUUUCAAUUCAACCACUUCUAACUCUUGGGCCCACUUUUAUUUUUUUUAUCUUCUACUUUCCUAAAACUUUUUGGAUUUUUGUUUUUAUUUCAUUUGAUUACUUUUGUAGUUUUGUUGCAUUUCGAUUUUUUUUUUCUUUUUUGUCAAGUAGGGUGAGUGAAGUGAAAUCUAUACCUUUAGUCUCUAUCCGUUUAGGAUUUGAAUAUGAGUGGUUAAUUAAAGAAAAUAUUUAAAAAUAAUUAGAUGAAAAUCUUUAAAGACUAGUAUUUAAGAUUUAGAACAAUUAAUUUUUGGCAUAAAAUUUGUGGAAGAAAUAUAAUUGUGAAAAAUAAAUUAAAAGAGCUAACGAGAUGUAGCUCUUGUUACCCUUUCUUUUUUUUUUACUCUCAUAGAAUUUUUUUUUUUUUUUUGGGUUACUAAGAUCAAAUGGUUUAGGAUUGUUUCUUAUUGGAAAAUUAAAGCUAUAAAUUGAAUAAAAGUCACAUUUGUUAUCCCCAACCUUUGUUUAAAUAAUAAUAUGCAUAUAAACUUGGCAUAACAUUAUAAUGAUGUGAAUAAAUUUAGAAAUGAUAGUUUUGUGAAAAUGACGUAAAAACAAGCACACAAUAAUAUAUUAAUAAAAAUGUAGUGUUAGACAUAUGUAAUGAGUACUAGAAAAAUAGGAAGUAGUGUGAAUUUUGAAAAUAAUAAUAAUACAAAUGGGAAUGCAAAUAUUGACAUCUGAGGAUGAUGCGGUUAGAAGAACGGUGAUGGUGACAAAAGUCGUAGUUACACCAACUACUAAGUAAUCAACUUAAACUUGGUCAUUUAUCGUUUUAAAUAAUGGAAAAAAAACUGAUGUUUACUUAAUAACAUUCGAUUUGAUACAAAAUUUAUAUCCUAAAUGAUGUGGUACAUAAUAUAUCAUAUUUAUUAAUAUUGUGGAUCAUUUUAAUAAUAAUUACCAUCAUUAAUUAGGAUCAUGUUAUCAAGCAUACAUAUUUUGUAAGCAUAUUAUUACUCAUUCAAUAAAAACCUUAAUUUCACAAAAUUGCAUAUGAAAUAGAAUGAUUUAAACAUUAUAACCAAACAAUUGUAACUACUUAAUUACCGUCUUAUGUUAGUCGAUAUUGCAUUUUUAAAUUAAAAUCCAAUCGACGUUUACUUCAAAACUUUGAAAUUUAAUACAAAAUUUAUGUCCUAAAUGAUGUGACACAUGAAGUUCGUGCCACCAUUCAUUAAUAUUGUGGAUCAUUUCAAAAAUAAUGACCAUCGCUGGUUAGUAUCACGUCACCGAGGAUAUAAAUUUUAUAAUCAUAUCAUUACUCAUUUAAUAAAAAUCUUAAUUUCAUAAUAUUGUAUAUUAAAUAUUAUGAUUUAGAACAUUAUAGACAAACAACUGCAGCUACUUAAUUACUGUCUUAUGUUACUCUAUGUUGCAUUUUCAAAUCAAAAUCCAAUACGAUGGCCAUUGCAAAGUUUUCGGUCCAAUUUUGGUUCAACCCAAAAACAUUAUGAGAGCUCAUUUUCUAUAGAAGGUUUUAGCAAUGGUGGAGGCUCAAUCAUUUGGAAACAAUUUUAUAAGAACAAUGAUGGCUGAGAUGAACCUGAAAUAAGAAAAAAUAACUAUUUAGAGGUAACGCUAACAGUGACCGACAACGAUAUUCUGACGUAUAAGUUAGUUGGAAUUUGAAGGGGAUAUGGGGUUUAAAAAAAAAUCGUUUUAUAGGAGAAAAUGUGAGUGUUUAUGAUAGUGAGAGAAUUUGACUCUUUUGUAAGACUAACUUGAUCUUCUUUGGUGGGGUGCCCUUUAGGACAUCUUUGUGUAUUUUUGGACACGAGACGGACCGUUAUUGGUUAUUUUCCUCCUCCGAUAGAGAUUUAAGAGUAAUUUAGCCUUUCUUGUUGAGACUCUUGAGCUGUCUUGAGUUGAACAGUUGUCCUUUGAGGGACUAUCCUUGCUGGCGAUUUGCCCUCAAUCGUGAUUAGCUCAUUCCGAACAAACCAAUUGAGUUAGAGAAGCAUUUGAUUUUACUAGAUGUGAAACAAGUGACUAUACUUGCAGUUCCCCUUUGUCAUAUCUGACUCUUGUGGCUUAUAGUGAGAUAUUUGGAGACAGCCCAAGUGGGGACGAUGUUGUAAUGAUGUGGUGUGGCCUCAUUUGGUGAAGCUGUCAUUGUCUCUGUUGUCCAAGGCUACAUGUGGAGGCUUUGAUGCGUUGUAGGAAACAUUGUUUGUAAUUCUCAGGCAGCUUGAGUGGCUGAAGCUCAUUUUUUGGGAUCUUUCUAUUCUGACCUUAUCCUUUCAGUUCCUCUUCCAUUCCUUUCAAGCGCUCAAAGGUCAUGAGCAACAGUUUAAAUGGAGUUUUUUUUUUUUUUUUUUUGGCUCUUCCUCAUUUGUGUGUGUGUGUGUCUUUAUGCAGAGAUUUACAAUGUUGUCGUUGAUCUGGUUUUUCAGAAAGAGCAACGUGAUAUGAGUCCAUAAUAAUAAUUCGAUACUCAUCUAGUUCAUCUUCUACUUCUCCAUGGUACAUUCGUAAAUAAAUAGGCUACAAAGUUUUGAAAACCCCUCCAAUGGGGAUUGUCAUCCAGUAAAUAAAAGAAUUCAAUGAAAGUACGAAACUUAUGCAUUGAAUAGGCAGUUUUCGUACUUUCAUGUAGUUUUAUAGCCCAUUCAUUAUAUAUUUUUCAUGAGUUUUCAUGCAUUUGAUGCAUUUGAUGGAAUUGAAAUUUUGUUUUUUUUUUUUCAAAUUUCUUUCUUCUUGUCAAAGUACAGCGAGCAAAGUGAAAUCCAUAUUUUUAGUCCCUGUACUUUUUUUAUUCGAAUACGAGUUAUUAAUUUAAGAAAAAAAAUUAAAAAUAAUUAGAUGAAAUUCCUUGAAGGCUAGUAUCUAAGUUUUAGUACGUUAAGUUUUGGUAUAAAAUCCAUGGAAGAGCGAAAUCUAAUUGCGAAGAAUAAAUUAAAAGAGCUAAUGAGAUGUAGCUGAUGUUACCCAUUUUUUUCCCGUUUCAUGAAUUUUUUUUUUUUUUGGGCUACUAAGAUCAAAUGGUUUAGCAUAUUUCUUUAUUGUAAAAUUAAAGUUAUAAAUUGAAUAAGAUUCACAUUUGUUAUCCCCAACUUUUGUUUAAAUAAUAAUAUGCAUAUAAACUUGGCAUAACAUUAUAAUGAUGUCAAGAAAUGACAGCUUUGUGAAAAUGACUAAAGAAAAGCACACGAUAUUAUAUUAAUAAAAAUGUAGUGUUAGACAUCUGUAAUCAGUAUUAUAAAAAUAGGAAGUAAUGUGCAUUUCGAAUAAUAUAAUAAUCAUGAAUGGGAAUGCAAAUAUUGACAUCUGAUGAUGAUGCAUUUAGAAGAGUGCUGAUACCUAAUGGGGACUAAAGUUGUAAUUAUACCAACCACUUAGUAAUCAACAUUAAAAUUUGUCAAUUAUCAUUUUACAUAAUCGGGUGGAAGAAAAAUAUAUUAAAAUGGGUUUUAAUAAAAAAAAGAAUUAUUGUUAAAAAUAAAAAAUAAUUAAGAUUAAAAUUUAUAACAAAUGAUAUUAAUAAAAAAGAAACCGAUAAAAAUUUGAGAUUAGGAUUAGGGUUAAGGUUUCGGUUUUUGAAUUUCCCUAAAUUUUAUAUAUUCUUUAAGUUUUAGUACGUUGAAUUAUAUUUGUAACCCUUAGAUGGUAAUGGAAUGUAAACAAAUUUUAUGGAUUAAUUUAUCUUUUAGAUACUUUGAAGGGUAAAAUGAUAUUUUAUAUGGUAUAAGUAAACUACUUGAUUAAUUAUUUAUAUUCUUAAAAUCUGUAAACUCAAGAUAAGAAAAAAUUUAAUUUUUGAUUUUCACUGUGGUGAUAUUGUAAAAAAAAAUCAUGAUUAUUAUAUUUAUUUUAUAAAUUAAAAUAAGAAAAAAUUAAUUUAAAAUCUUAAAAGGUUUAUUACUAUUUUUAAGGGAAUUUUCAAUAGUAAAUUUAUUUUUGUCAUCUAACUUAAAAUAUGUCGGAUUUUAAGGGGAAAUGAAAUUAUCCUUAUUAAUCCCACAAUAUUGUUAAUUAGUUACGUUAUGGGCAUUCUCGUAUUUUACUAAGUCAAAUGAGUCAACUGUUAAAAAUAACAAUAAUUAGGGGAAUAUAAGGAAAAGAGGAGAGAGGAAAGUAGGGGAGGGAAAGAAAUAAAGGAAAAAAGACAAUUUCAUGUCCAACCAAAUAAUGAAAAAUGAAAUUAACUCUCUUUUUCACUCCCCCCAUUUGAAAUGAGUUAUUCAUUGAAGAUAACUAAAGUACCAUCCCUUUUGCACUUUUUUAUUUCUCGAUUUACCUUUAAUUCCCCCACCAAUUUAUCAUCUACAAUAGACUUUAAUGUUCAGACAAUCUCCUUAUUUUCUAUUAUGAAGCUCAUCUGUAGUUUUGCAAGGUCACACAUUAUUUACCCCAAUGUUCGUAGCCAUUGAGUCUCCAACACUUUAUCAUAUCCUCCAAUGGAAGAAUAUAAAAAUCAACAAAAAUGGAAAAAAAUCCCUUGUAAUAAUAAUUUAACAUUGGUGCACUUUCUCCUGAUGCCAUUACCACUUUAAAUUACUCUUUUAACUUCGAGUUGUAAUCCCACCUUCCUUGCAAUGUCUUCACCAAUGAAAUUAUGAGUGCUUCCUGAAUCUGCUAGAACUAUUGUUGUAAGUGGCCCAACAGUCCAUUUUACCUGCAUUGUACCCAAUGUCCUUGCUCCAAAAAUUGCUUGUAGAGGGAUCUUUGCACCACCUUGGAAUCUUCUAUAAUAGCAUCAUCCUCAUCCAUAACAACAUCAUUGUCACCAUCAUAACAUGCUUCAAUCAAAAAUAAUUUUUUGCAAUGGUGCUCUAGAGUGAACUUUUGAUCACAAUUGUAACAUAAUCCUUUGGCUCAUCUUUCUUGCAUUUCCGCUGGUGCUAAUCGUUGAACUAGAAGGGUUGAAUUGCCUGGAAUUAGUUCUUUUUUCAAUAAAUAGUUCUUUUUUCCCUCAAUAGUGAUAGUGUUGUGUCGCUAUGAGAUGUUUGGAGCUUUAUACAACUGGACUAGUCCAAUGGCUAAUGUCAAUGUGGUUGGUCUACCGAUAAGAAUGUUUGCCUUAAUGGUGUCUUUCAACCCACUGACGAAAUAGCUAACUCGUCGAUCUUAUGAAAGAUGUCCCACCUUAGCUAACAACUUCUCAAAUUGGGUUCGAUAAUCACCGACAAACCCAACCUAUUGUAAUUUGAUUAAUACGCUAAAAAAGUCUCGAAAUUAGGUGUCGCCAUACCUAGCAUGUAAGCCAUCACAAAACUCUUGCCCAGUCGUAAUGUCUCAUUCUUGAUUAAUCAGUUGGAACCAUAGUCAUCUCCCUCUAAAUGGAAUGAACCCAACGCCACAUGUUCGUCUUCUAGAGUUUGAUAAAGAUGAAAAAACUACCAAACUCUACAAACCCAACUAGUUGUGUCUUCACCACCAUUGAACUACGGAAAAUCAAGUUUAAUUAGCCUUGGAAUAUAUGACUGUUGUGUGCUACUUUGACGACCACUCAUGGAGUUUCCUGAUUGCCCUUGAUUAUGGAGUGGGGCAUUAAAGUAUUCUCCUUCCUCUCGUUCUAUAUUGGUCUCCAGUAGGGAACUUUUUGAAUUAAGCUUUCCAAAUAGUUCAUUGAUCUUCUCUAAAAUCUGUAGUUGACCAGUCAUAAGAGAACUUACAUCUUACUUUAACUUCUCCACCCUUUGAUCUAUGCCCAUUCUUUAAUACCACUAUGUUACGUACUAGGGGUUGUUCUCCUUUUGUUUGCUGGAACCUAUUGUGAAAAUUUAAAAGCGACUGAAAUUCGUCAGGUUUAUUGAGGAACUAAUGACCUCUGUACUUGAAUUAUUAGAAUGAAACUUGACUGAUCUCCUUUAUUCUCUAGUGGCUUGGAACAAGUAACCAAAAAAUUACAACGUUCACGUCCUGAAAAAUGGCUAAAGAGUUGUCAUUAACCUUCUGCAAUUACUUCCUACGAUAAAAUAGCAAUAGUUUGCAUUAGAUUGAGACUAGAGAUGGCCAAUGGGUUGGGCGUCAUGGGCACAACACGUGUCCGUACAGCACGGCGCGACACGUGCACGUUUCAGUAGGGCACGUGGCACGGCAUGGCACACACGUGGGCCAUGCCAGGCCUUAAAAGCACGGCACGAUUAGGAUGGGACAAAGUACGGCACGCGAAAAGACAUGUAAUAAGCACGCUUCAUUGGUGGGCUAAGCACGCGGCCCAUGAGCCAUCAAUAGUACGUGGGGCAAAGUAUAUUAAAGUAAAUUUUUUUAAUGAAAAAUAAAUAUAAAAUACCAUGAAUUUACAACUAUCUUGUAAUUAAUUUUUUUUAAUAUAUUUUUUUUAGUAUAGGAUUUUAAAAAUUAAUUUAAGUCGUAGUUUAAAUAAAUAUUCUAAUUUUUUAUGUUUAUAAUUUAUUAAAUGGAUAAAUAAAUAUCAUGAUUUUAUAAAUGAUAAAUAAAAAAUUUUAUGACAUUAAUAUUUCAUUUAUGAAAUCAUAACUUAAUUAAUAGUUAAUGGAGAUAUGUUUCAUUUGUGAUUGAAAUAUUUUUCAUAUUUAUGCACAAAAAAAUAAAAUUAUGAACAAAAUAUUUUUAUGAUAAAUUAAAAAUUAUAUUUUCAUUCAAUGGAGUUCAAGUGCAAUUAUAAUAUUAGUUGUUCAAAUAAAAUUAGGUGUAAUUGUUAUUUUAGGAUUGUAAUUUUAUUUUUCAUUAAUCAUUACUAUGAUUUAUGAAAUUAUUAUUAUUAUUAUUAUUAUUAGGCUGGUGGGCUUAAAAAAACACAUCAGGCACAUGGGCUUGAAAAAAACACAUCAGACACGUGAGCUUUUUUAAGCACGCUGAACAUGUGAGCUUAAAGUUAAAAAAAAAAUUGGUGGGCUUUUUUGGGCACGGCACGAGCGGGCUCAUGCUGUGGGCCAUAUCGGACCCUUAUAAAAAAAAGUGGGCCGAUGUGCCGACACGGCCCAUUGGCAAUCAUUUAUCUAAGACUUUGCGAUAUUUACUACCGGCAACCAAUUAUUUUUUUUAAAAAACAAUAAGACCAAAUAAAUAACACAAUGUUGUUGUUGUCGUUGACUUGGGAUUUGAAGAAAGAGUAAUGUGAUAUGAACACAUAAUAGUAAGUCGAUGCUCAUCUAAAGUUUUGAAAACCCCUCCAACAGGGAUCAUGACGCAAUACAUUACAAAUUUCAUGAAAUUACACAACUUAUGCAUUGAGUAUGUAGUUUUUGUACUUUCAUGUAGUUUUAUAGCCGAUUAACUAUAUAUUUUUCAUGAGUUUUCAUGCAUUUGAUGGAAUUGAGAUUCUUUUUUUUUUUAAAUUCUACAUUCUAGCACUAAAAGAAUUGAUUGCACAUAAUUUUUCUAUUUCAGUUCCCUUUUUCAUAUAUAUUUUUAUUUAAUGGUUAGUUUUGAAAUAUUAGAGAAAAUUAACUUCAACGAUAUCCAAAGGUAGCAUAGAAGGGGGGUGAUAUGAGAAGAAUACUAAUUGUUUCAUUUCUUUUUGUUUUCUUUGUUGAAGAAGGGAGGUGCAUCUACAAUACCCAUAGGUGAUAGCUUGUAUGGUGGACUUAGAGUGUGUUUGUUUUUUAACUUAAUUACUUAAAGUGACCUAACUUCAUUAAUUAAGUUAAUUAGAGGUGUUUAUUUUUAUAAUUUAAUGGGACAUUUUAGACAAUUUUACCUUAAUAAAAUAAGCUAAUUUUUUUUUUGGCUUUUUACUGAAUAGAGAAGUCUGAAUAAGCCAAUUAAUUUCUAAUAAAAAAAAAUCCCUACUUUUUAAAUUAUUUUCCAUGACUAUUCCAAAACUCACCCAUACACGUUCACCUAUUAAUAAUCUCAUCUUAUAUUAUGUAUUAUUAUUGAGAAUUGCUGAUAAAAUGUGAAACUUAUGGUAUUUUGUAUAUUAUAAUUUCAAAAUCAUUAUAUAUUCAAUUGAAUGUGGUUUUUCUUAUAUAUAUGUUAAAAUCUUGUGGUAUUUAUGUGCUUUAAAUUUAUUAAGGAUACAAAUGUAAAAGUACAUGUUUUUACUUUUUUAAGUUCAAAAAACAAAGAAUUUAAUACUUAUUUUAGAGAUUAAGAAAAAAAAUAUUACUCAAAUUCAAACAUUCAGGUCUAUUCAUAUUCAUACUAAUUUAAACAAUUUAGACUUUAGAUAAAAAAAAAAGCUACCUUAAUAUUAAUACAUAUAUAGUAUUCUCACUCUUUGUAGUCUUGUACAUAGUAGAUAUAAUUUUCUCACUCUUUGUAGUGUUGUACAUAGUAAUUGUUGAGUUGUAUUUAAUUAGUUUAUUAUUGAACAUAAAUUAUAAUGACUUUAAAAAAAAUGAUGUAAAAACUAGCCCACGAUAUUUUUUUAAUAAAAAGGUGGUGUGAGUUUUGUGUAUUAUAAAUCGAAUGCAAAUAUUGACAUUUGAUUAUGUAUUUAGAGGAGGGAAGGGUGAUAAAGAAUUAAAGAUAGUUAAAGAAUUAAAUUGAAAUCUGACUUCGAGAUUUUUUUUUUAAUUCCCAAAUCAUACAUGUUAUUUUAAACGAGAUGCCCAAUAAAAUAGAAAUAUUUAGAACCUUAAUUUCAUAAUAGUCAAAGUCCACCACCAUUAAUUAAUCUUUUGUUUAAUAGAUAGUGUAGCAGGUCUAGAUCAGACAAGUAAACGUCCUGGACGAGAGAAAAAGAAAAAAAUUGCAGGUGCCGGUUAAUAUCCGGUAUUAAAGCAACCGAAUACCGAAUGCCUGCCGGUUGCAGAGAAAUAUUUUAUUGCAUGAAAAUGUAAGAAAUGAAGUAAAAUGUACGCCUAUCCUGGCGAGCGAGCAGUCACGUGCGGCAAGUACAUUUUUCCAAACAAUAGCGAUGAUCCGUUCAGAAAAAUAGUAGAUUGAUUUUACAGCUUUGGUUGACUUCACCGGGAAGCAGGACCGGACGGAGGUAUGUGAAGUUCGUGAUUUAUAGCUCGGCACAAACGGAAAUAUGAAGCUUGUAAUUUGCGAAGGUGAACAAUAAAGCUUCAUGGCUAAGUCCGUGCAACUUUUGAGUGCAAUUAUUGAAGUGGAAGGAGAUGGGAAAGGAGAUAUACUGGUAGUUUGUUUGCGUUCUUGUAAAUCUGACUGUAUUUCAUGACCUGUGAGGAAAAUUAUUUGUUGUGCGUGCGGGUUCAACACUUCCGACCAAAUUUUAAUGCUUGGUCACCACCCUCCAAUCUUUAGUAAAUUUCAAUCGUUUUUGUUGUAAAUACUUGUUGGAGAUCCAUCAGCAGCUUCGUUAUCACGAGGGAUGGUGUUUAAAAAACUUGUAAUUUUCUGAAUAGGGUCGUAGUGGAUCACAGUCUUCCAAGUUUUGAUUCAUUUUACUGAAUGUAUAAAAUUAAGGAUUUAAAACAGAAAAAAGAUGUUUAAAUUAAACAUUUAAAUCGUACAUCGUCCUUCAAUAUUUAAAUAAAAUAUAAAAUUAUUUAUGAUUUUAUUAAGAUAUAAAUAUUUUUUAAAAAAAAAACUUGAAGACAACUCAUAUGUGUCUAGCAUCUUUAGCCAUCAAAUUUGGACCACCUACCAUACCCACCUCAAUAAGGUCCAUAACCCAUGAUGUGAGAGAAAAUGGUAUUAAUUUGAUCCCCCUUUGGUAAAUAAUUUCAAUAAGGUCCAUAACCCAUGAUGUGAGAGAAAAUGGUAUUAAUUUGAUCCCCCCUUUGGUAAAUAAUUUCUUUAGCUUCAACCGAAUUUAAAUGCUUGUAAAUUAAUUUCUACCGUGAUUAUAAAAGUGAACUAUAUAAUAGGGGUGGGCAUAAACCCACAACCCAUAGGUUAACCAAAAUCCAAACCAAAUUAAAUGGUUGAGGUUGGAUAAAUCAUGAAAAUUGAUUAAAUAUGAGUUUUAUAUAAAAAAAUCAUUUUAUUAUGGAUUGGGUAUGGUUUACCCAUAGUUUAUAGACAAAACCCCAACACUUAAACUUAUUGUCUAAAAUCAUAACUAAACUAAAAUUACAAUAUUAAUGCUCGUCGGUCUCAAUUCAACUUUAUUUUAAGUUUUUCUCGUUUCGAUAGCUUUAGUUUGCAGUUUGGGGAAUUUAUACAAAUAACCAUAAAAUUUUGUGAUUUUUUCAUUUUAACCCCACAAAUUAAUUUUUAUCAACAUUAGCCCAAAAAAAAUUCCAGACCAAAAUGCCCCUCUCACAUUUGUCCCCCAAGACUCUCUCUUUCACGUAAUCUCUCCUAAAGCCAAGAACACCCAUAGUCGGUGGCAACUUCACCCAUCGUUGGCGGCGACUCCACCCAUCAUCGGCGUCCGAUCUACCUUCUACGGCGAAGAAAAUCAACUAGAUUCAUUAUUUAACUUCAACAAAAUCUAGGUUAGCCAUUUUAUUUAUAUUUCAUUAAUUAAAAAUGAAAUUUUAGAAUAAUAGUGGUUGUAGUUUGAGAAUAAUGGUGUGGUUGUAGUUUGAGAAUAAUGGUGGUAAUAGUGGUUGUAGUUUGAGAAUAAUGGUGGUGGUGGUGGUGGUGGUGCUUGUAGUGGUGGUUGUUGUUUUGAGAGUGUGUUGUUUUGGGAGUGUGCUGUUUUGUGCGUGAUUUGUGAGUUUGUUGUUUUGGGUGUGAUUUGCUGCCCAGCAAGCGUCAUUUGCUGCCCAGCGACAGGCGCUAGCGCGCACAGGCGCGACCCUGUCGCAUCAAAUUACAAUUUUUAUUUUUUUUAACGUGAAGUUAAUUUUCCUAUUAUUUUAUUAUAAAUGCAAUCUAAUAAUGUUAAAAAUAUUAUAGAUACAUGACGAAAUCAGAAGUGUCAAGAAACAAAUUGAGCAAGAUGAAGUUAGCUUAUGCCGAUCACUUCCCAGGGCGAAUUUCAAGCAUGUGUAACUUUUCUACGGUCAUAAAAGCCAUCGAGCAAAAAUUAACAAAACGGCAGCUGCAUAUGUUCAAGAAAUACAUAUUUGGGCCUUUCUUGGAGUGCCAAAACUUUCCGUUUAGUGGUGUAAUUUUGCACAAUGUUUUGCUUAGGCAAGUGGCCCAUGGAGAAUACAGGGAGGAUAAUCAAUUAUAGUUUCAAAUUGGUAAGCAUUUGAUAUGCAUGUCAAUUGGAUAAGGGUGUCUGGUUACUGGACUUUCCUAUGGUGAAGAUACCGCACUAACAAAUAACAAGACGAGUAUUUUGGUGGUUUGUUUCGCAACAUCAAUCUUAAGCAAUUUGAUGCAUUAUUUGAGGAGUUGGAGUUCAAGGGUAUGGAAGACAUUGACGCAUUAAAGAUCACACUCUUUUACUUUGCGGACAGAGAAAUGGAAGAAAUGGCCACUGUCAAAUCAAUUUCUCAAGGCUGAACGAAGUAGAUGAUAUAAAUUACUUCCAAAAUCGUCCAUGGGGUCGUUUAUCGUGGGAAAUAAUAUACGAGAGUCUUGACAAUGCACUAUACGAGAAAGACGAGAAAUUUAAGGCGACUCGGUUGGAAAAGUCAAAUCAUAAAAUAGAAAAGUACAAUGUUUACGGCUGAAAUUGCAUGAGCACAUACAAGCUGAUCAAGCUGAAAUACUCUGCAGGAGCAAGUUUUCUUUUGUAGGUCAACUAAACCUUCCUUAAUCCCACCACCUACAACUUGAAAUCGAUGCGGAGACACUGGGCGAACGAUCAUUCUUUCAGCUAUAGUUUUUCUCUCAGUGACUAUUUCAUCCGCCCAUGUUGUUAGCCGAGUAGUCAUUAAUUCAGCGACAAUUUUUCUAUCAUAAAAUCAUUGCUGUAAUAUUUUCCUAAAGUAAUCAACAAGAUGAGUAACAUGAAAUUUUCUCGGUUCCCUCAUGAAAGAAUUAACACUCUCUACGAUGUUGGUUGUAAGUAUGUUGUACCUUCUACCUUCAAACUGAGACCUUACCCAAUUACAUGUAUCCAUAUUAUUUUCUAAGUAAUCAGCCGCACCCAAGUGGAGCAUCCACAACCCUUCAAGUUGUCUUUUAAAUUCCUUGUGUCCAUAAACUUUUGCUGUAUUAAUAAAGGCAGGCUCAAAUUCAUCCUAAAGAGCUUUGGACAUCCUAAACUUUGACUUAAUGUUACUUUUCACAUGGUAAAAACAAACACCAUGAGUUGCAUUGUGAAAUACUUUCAGAACGACUCUCAUUUUGGCAGUACAUUUAUCAAAGAUAAUUACCAACUCUAGCUUAUCGCCAAUCACUCCGUGUAACUUCAUCAUAAACCAUUCCCAAGCAUCAUUAUUUUAUGAAUUCAUGACCCCAAUGACUAACAGAUACAAUUGAUUGUUGCCAUCCAGACAUGUUACUACGAACAUGCUUCCACGAUAUAGUACAUUUAGAUGAGUACCAUCUACAACAAUGACAGGCUGAAUGUACUGCAUAAAACCCUUGAUAGAAGAUCCAAGUGCUACAAAGUAGUACAAGAAAUUAUCAUCUCCAUCUCGUUCGAGGUGAGUGACUGUACCCUCAUUCGCUUUAGUUAGUACGUUAGAGUAUUUAAGGAGCAAGUUGUAUGACUCUGCAGGGUUGGCUCGAACUAUUUCAAGACCAACUUCUCUAGCUCGAUAUGCCUGCUGAUAUGUUAACUGAACACCAUAUUCCUGCUGCAUAACUGCUCUGAUGUUAUUUGAAGUAUAAAUCUUCUUUUUUUGAAUAUAUUUAUCUGCAAUAAUAUGACCGACAACUCGGCUCCUUACUUGUCAACGACUAUCAACUAAUACCUCAUUAUGACAAGUGUAUACAUUGUCAAUUCUCCUUACCACCCAAGGAACAUUAUGCUCGUUCGAACUUCUAAUUGCUUGAAUACACCAUUUACAUGAUUCCGAACAACAAUGAGCCUCAAAACGUGUCGUUGUAGACCGUGCAAUCUUGAAAUCAAAUUUAUCCCUAAAGACAACCUUGCGCAGUUGUAGUAUUAAUUCAUUCUUCUCAGCGAAUAACUUACCUACACUGAUAUCAUCUGAGUCACAACUACUAAGAAAGCUUAGAGCAACUAUGUUCAAAGGCAAAAUUGGAGCAAGACUUGUGACAAUGUCAAUUCUCCUUAUCGAUCCAACCAUUGGAGGAAUAUAUCGAUUGUCUCUAUUAUUCACAAGAAUAUCGUCUUCACACUCAUCCUCAUGCUGAAACGACGGAAUAUUGGAAGGACCGGUUCCUCCAUCAUCACCUGCAUUAUUGAAAUGAGUGCCACUCAUAGUAUUAGAAGGUCCUGCACAAACAUUAUCCUUCUCUGUCUCAUCAACAGGAUCAUCAUUGUCUCAGAAAUUAUUGUUGUGAUACGGAGAAUACCGUUGCUCCAACGACGUCGUUAGUGGUAAUACAUCUUCUCUAACAUCCUCUAACGUAAUAUCGUUGUCAUCAAUGUUGUCAUUAUUGUUGUGGUUUGGAGAGUAAUAUUGCUACAAUGACAUUAUCGGGGCCAGACAUAUUUGCUCUAAAGGAAGUUUAUGUUCUGACGGGUGGCUCAACAUCUUCGCUCGGAAUUCGAGGUGAUGGGGUAAUGAAUAUAGGAAUGCAUUCAUAGUUGGCCACAUUGGAUGCCAUAUGCAACACAACCCUCACCAUUUCAUUAUCAAAUAUAUCCAUGGGCAGUGCACAUAUAUGAUAUAACGUGUUACUAGACAUCAAAGUUGUCUUCAUUGUGAUACUAUAUUCAUGAGGAUUUAUUUGUAACACUUCAUAUAUUCUUACCAAAAGCUAAUCAAACAGACAAUUUUUCCCAACAAAAAAAACUCUAUUUUUACCAUUUACAUACUUCAUACAGCCAUCCUCUAACGUCUCCUACCAACCAUCAUAACACAAUUCAAGCACAACUGAAUCCAUUAAACCUGAAAUUAUAAAAAAGAAAUUAAUUGCACACUAUCAAACUAAUAAAGAGUCAGUUGCAAUAAAUCUGCCUCUUCAAGCGACAGGCUGCCUGUUGCACUAAAUUCGUGCGAUAGACUGCCUGUCGCACAAAAAGGCAGAGUCGGUGAAUCUGCCUCUUCGUGCGACAGGCAGCCUGUCGCCCGAAGAGGUAGAUUGUCGCACGAAAUUUUCAUGCGACAGGUGCCUGUCGCACCAAGAUGCAAUCGCACUGAAACUCUCUCGCAAGUUGAGAAAAUAACUCUUACCAUCAGUGAUGCGGAUUGGUAUUAAAUCCGGAUGGAUUAUGAUCGGAGUUCACUUUUACCGUUCGCCGUCGGCGUUUGCCGUCGUCGGUGAUGAUUCAAGAGUGCAAGGCUGCGUUUGGUUUGAUAAAAGGGGAGAAGGAAAGUUGCUUUUAGUUUGUAAAUAAGGAUAAUUUAGGGAGAAAACUUUGUGUUUGGCUAAUGUUGAUAGAAAAAAAUUUAGAGAGCUAAUUGUGAAAAUAACAAAGGUUUUUGGGUUACUUUUGUAAAUUUCCCUUGCAGUUUUGUGGCAUCCUAAUGUUUCCCCACAAUGUGUAUCUUGUUACUCUUCAAAAAUUAAUUUAAUCACAUAAGUGAGCUUGACCAAUGACUGAUUCUGAAAUGAUUUUGCAUUGAUCUGGAGAGAGAAAUGCUUUGUGAGUUAGCUUAUCAUUUAAUUUAUUUCUUACUUUAACAAAAUAAAAAAAAACCCUUAUUAAAAACUUACUCUAUGUGUAUAUUUUUUUUCCUUCUUUGAAUUUAUUUAUUGAUGUCAUGUUUGUAAAAGCUUAUUAUUAGAAGUUACAUUCUCAUUUAUUGAGAAAAUAAUACUUUUCAUGAUUAAACUUUAUUUUAAUUUUCUAGUAUUCUUUAAUUUAAGGAUAAAGUUAUUGUAAAAUUUAUUAUUUAUAAUUUUUAUCCACUAUAUGUUUUUCAUAUUUUACUAUGAAUUUAAUAAUUAAUAAAAAUUAGUAAUUAUUAUAAAUUUAAUAUAAUUAAAUUUAUCAAGAUAAAAAAAUAUUUUAAUAAUAAAAUUGAAACCAAACCCAAAUCAAAUCUAAAUAGAUUAGUUUGGAUUGGAUUAAAAAUAUUUGAGUUGGUUUGGGUUGGACCCAAACUUUUAUGGUUCGGUUUGGGUUGACUCAAAACCCAACCCAUGUCCACCCCUCUAUAUAAUAUAUGAGAUGAGAUCAUGAAUAGAAUAUGAAAUUUUAAGAUGGCAAUUAUUAAAUGAAGAUGUUCGAUGCACGUCAAAAAUGAUUUAACGUAUGGAAUUAGUGAAGAAAAAGAAAACGAUGUUGAAAGUGAAAGAGAAAAUUAUUUUAAUUUCAAUAUGAGACGUGAAAUCUAUGUAAACAGUUUUGAAAGACGGAAAAGGAUCAUCAGUAGAAAUUGAGGGAAAAAUAAAAUAGAAUAUAUUGAGAGCAAAAAGUAAAGGAAAUAAAAUUAUAAAUGUGGGACUGUUUGAAUUGAAAAAGCCCCAAAAUAUGAAAACUAGAAUUCACGUGUUCUUUUUCAACCCAUGCUAUCCAGUUGCCUACUAACCACGACACUCGGUAUCACUGCCUUUUUAAUUUUUUAUUCUUUUUAUUUUACAGCCGUAGGAUUCUGUUCACCGUAUCCAACGAUUUAUUUAACCGAUAUGUUUCUAAUAGAAACUAUAACAUAAUAAGGUCCUAACUUUAAUAAAACUGCUUGUUAAAUAAUUUAAGUUAAACAUUACAGCCAAACAACUGUAGCUACGUAAUUACCUCACGAGAGUCUCACCUAAGUGGUCUCAUCGAGAAACUUCACUUGAAAACACAAUUAAUCUUCCCCUAACCUUUCACCAUCAAUUUCUUUUGGGUAUUUUUCGUUUUCUUUGCUUCCCCUGCGGUUGUGGAAAGUAAUGUACUAAUAUCCAUUCAUGGUGAUUUUAAUAAUAAGUAACAUUAAAACUUUUUUAGUUAAUAAUGGUAUAAAAAUUAAAAUACUAAAUGUAAUAUUAAAAUGUACGUUAUUAUAUUUUUUAAAAAAUAUUUUAUAAAUUAAUUGAUUGUAUAUUUUUGUAUUCAGUGGUUUUUCUUUUAUGCUGAUUACAUUAUGAUAAAAUAAUUAGAUUAUAGGCGACAUAUCAUUCAAAUCUUACUCCAAAAUAAAAUUUAUACAUAAUAUCAUCAAUGUCCUAAAUAAUAAACAUCAUUUCAUACAAAUUUUAUAAACAUUUACGACAUAGCAUACAUAUGAAGAAAUUAUAAGCGACACAUCAUAUAUCAAUGGCCGAAGAUUUUUUUCUCUUUUAUUCUCUAUUUAUAUUUUCCAACUUAAUACAAAUCAGCUAACCCUCAUUUGUUAAGUGUUGAGCACAUCCAUACUUCAUUUUGAAGUAUGCUCUAAUGAAUUCACUUCACCCUUGACAAAAUAUUUUUUCUUCUUUUUUCUUACAUCUGACUCAUUUUUAUAUGUUGGGUUACAACAAGUUUUACCUCUAUGUUAAAGCGAUUUAAAUAAAUCAAUUUUUCUUUGGAAGCACAAAAUAAUAUAGGAUAAGAAAUAGAUUCGUAUCCAAUAUUAAGCUGCAUUGUUUUGAUUUUUUUUUUUAUAAUCUUAUUGCGCAUCUAUAUUUAUAGAAGUGUAUUAUUAACAUUUAAUUAUAUAUUAUGUUCUAUCCAAUAAUUAUGGUCAUCAUAAUAUCAAAAAUCUCAACAUCGAGUCCGCAUCCAAAAAAUUAAAAAACAAGAAUCAUAAUUUAUAUAAAAUUUUAUUUGUAUUUAAUUAUUAGUCAUUCACGUUAAUUUGAAAUUUUUUGAGUGAUGACACACUCCUGGAAAGGGCACCGAGUUGAAAGUCUUCAUUCUAGAUCUUAUCUCCGAGAUAAACAUGUUGUAAUAAGAAAUGCAUAAACAAAUUGAAACGAAUGAUUCACAAACAAACUAUCUUAUUAAUUAAACUCCAUCAUCAACAAUAUUUUUAAGUUGAAUACCGCAUAACUUGAAAGAAAGCUUGUAGUCCUAACAAUAUUGAACAUAUAUACUUUUUUUUUUUAAAGGAACAUAUAUACUUUAUUUGAUAAGAUCUUCAUUUUCAUGUUUUUUUUAAAGUGAAAAUUCUUCAUCUAUAUCUAAAGUCUACGGGAAAGCCCAAAUACUAUUUCUUUUUUUUUUAUUAAAGAGGGCUCUUCAAAGAGAGCUAGACAGGAACAAAACGGGAAAGCCCAAAUAUUAUUUCAAGAAAGAUAUUGGAGGCAAGAGGUCUUAAACCCUACUUAUAAAGAAAAAAAGAUUUUGAUGGACUAUCAUAAAUGGGAUUGGGAGGUGGAACCUGAUGAGUUCAAACCAAUAUACUCUCUAAAACAUGGAAACAACUUUGGCAUAUACUUACUCCUGCUUAGAGUUGUUUUCAUGUUUUCGGUAGUGCAUCAGUCUCAACUAAGGGUGGGUGUUCGAUUCGAUUUGAUUUUGUUCGAACCAAACUGAACCGAACUGUAUUAUGGCAGUUCGGUGUAGUUCGGUUUAGAUAAUAUAAACCAAAUGGUUUAUAAAUAUCUAAAUCAAUUGAUGUUUGUUUGGUUCAAUUUUAAACCGUAUCAAAUUAAAAAAUCAAAUGGUUCAGAGAGAAAAAUUAAAUUAAAAAUUAAAAAUAGGUUUUAUGUUAACUAAUACGAGUGAUAACUAAUGUGAUAGUAUAAAUUUUAAAGUUUCUUUUAUGUGUGAUUUUGUGUGUUCCUUUCAUAUUUUAUUUAUUAUUGUGAAUCUAUAAUUUGUUGUGAAUUUCUAAGGUAUCAACGUUUGUUUCGUGCUUAACUUUAUUAUGUUGGUGGAUUUAAUUUUAUUUUGUUGUUUAUUUGUAAAUUUACGGACUCAAUAUUGUUGCUGUAGUAAUAGUCCAUUAGUAUUAUGUUGUUUAUUAGUGAAUAUAUAGAGUAAAAUUACUCAAACCAAAUUAAACAAAACCAAAACAAACUAGACUAUAUAACUAAACCAAACUAAAUUGAAUUAAUUUGAUUCGGUUCAGUACAGCUCUAGUGUUUGAUUCAUUCUUUUUUUUUUCACAAAACUGUAAAUCAACUGGUUUUGAUUUGGUUCGGUUUUAAGCAAACAUGUUUAUUAAAAGGGAGAUAUGACAACAUAUUGUCAAGGAAUGAGUAUGUUGUGCAACAACCCAUCCAGUACUUAGACAACUUCCAUCAUAAAAGUUGCUAAGUAAGCCUAAUGAACUUUUCAAGCUAGCUAAGAAAGGAUGUUUGUGAGAAAGCUAGAGAGAAGAGAGCAAUAUGGCCAAAGCGAUUUUUAUUAAUAGAAAGGGAGAAUACAAGAAAGCUUUACAAAGAUGCUUGAGUUGCUAGGUGUGUAGUGUGGUGUUGAGCAAAAUGGUAGGUGUCAUGCCCUAUAUAUAGAGUGGCUUGCCUAGGUCUAGAGUCUUUUGUGCAACUUGCACUUGCUUAAAUAUUCCCUAGUUUUUAGAAUAUAUAAGUGUAUAAUUAUCUAGGCAUUUACAAGUGCUAGUGUGUUGUAGAGAUUUCUAGAAUCAGGUCGGGGCUACUCGCUUUGGCUAGUGAAUUUGAAUUGUCCACUUGCUAAGUGCAUCACAGUUCACUAAUUAUACGAGGCAACCCACUGCUGAGCACACCCUGCUGCUAAGCGCAUCUUGCCUUUGGGCGAAUCUUUAUUAAGCAAACCCAUAUGCGCUAAUUUAGCUCUCGCUGUUGACAAAUUUAAGCGACCCGUGACAAUAUGAUGCAAUAUCGGAAGCCUUUUAUAUUUAGGUUUACUAAAUGCGCGGCGGGGAGAAUUUAGGGCUAAGAGAAAUUGUAGCUGCAUGGCUUUUGAAUUUCUUUGUGAAUCUAUCUAUUACUUAUUAGACAUAAUAGAAUAUUGGGCUAAUUGGGUAUGUUGGAACUUGGGCUUAUAUAUGUACGUCUUAUAUAUAUGUGCCGUCAUCACACAGGGAGAAGAAAAGAAAACUGUCAAGAACAUGAAGUGGCUGCAUCUAUAUAAAGAAGAAAAAUAAAAUUGAUUUAAGCGGUGUUUCUCCACUAAAAGAGAAAAUCAGGUGGCAACAAAAAGUUGAGUGGGGAUCAUUUCAGCACCCUCUUUCUAUCUCAAUAUCUUCUCCUCAGAUCAACCUCACCAUUUGUUAUUGGUAGGCACUUCUUCCGAGAAAGCAUACAAAUGCAUUAACAUUUUAACAUUUAGGAUAUUUGUUAACCAACAGUAGAGACUUCUGCGUCAUUUCAGAAAAUCGAGCUAGUGCAAAAGGUAUUAUCCAAGAUACACGUAUUUGAUUUUAUUUAAUUUGAUGGACACAGAUGAUAUGAUAUUUAUGGAACUUUAAAUGAAACUAUAUUUGAUUAGGGUUAUUUUUGUGAGAAAUGUGGUAAUCAUAAUAUAUAUUCUUUGUAAAGCAGACACUCACAUUAAGCUCGAUCAAAUAGAAGUCCAAAUAGAUGAAUAAAGUGCCAAACAAAUAAUAAUAAAAAAAAAAGAGGUCUGAUUAUGCUUAAUCUUAAAUACAAUGUAAUGAUUUAAGGAUCCAAAUGUCAACAUAGUAUACGCUCGAAUGACCCCUUCUCAUAAUGAGAAUGUAUAUAAUCUUAUUAUGAACUAGUCUUGUAUGGAAUGAACUUAUAAUCAUGGAAUCAACUCAAUUAUCAAAUUAUAUGUUAUAAGUUCAUAAUUCUAACCCAUUCCCAUUUUGUUCCAAAAAGAUCUAUUAAUUGUUUGAUUCUAAUUAGAAAGAGGGAUCUUAAACUAAGAAAUCGAUAUUAAAAACUAACUAAAAACGAAACGAAGGUAUUUUAAUAGUAUUCGUUGAUAUUCCUUGAAUAUUAGUUUCCUCUAAUAUAUUAGAGUUUCUAUCCAUUUAUCUACGCUUUUAAUUUUGUGGAAACAAAAAAUUGAAGAAACCUAUUUGUAUCAACGUUUGUCAUAUAUUUUUGUGUGUCGAAAAAAAUUGCAUUUUGAUCCCAAAUUCAGAAUUCACCUAAACUUAAGUUAUAUAUACACGGGUAUUUUGGUUUAUUUUCAAUUUCUUGAAAGCCAAUAACUUCCCUUACUCACCGGAUUGUAAUUUUGUUACAAAUUUCUAAAAGUGAGUAAUCAAAGAGGUGCUCCAUGACGCGCAUGAUGAUUGAAAAAAUUGCCCAAUCAUUGAACUAAAUAAAUAAAUAAAAUGAUUUACUUGUAGAUAUAUUGUAUAUGGUCCAGAAGCGAUUAUCAUUUUAUCAACAUUGCUUUUUUUUGGCUUCGACUUGUCUCCAAAUCUCUGCAUUCUGAAUGCAAAAAUGACUUGUACCCACAUACAUAAAUACAGUUAAUAUUUUUAUUAAUAAUUCGCACGUACUAUAAGCAAACGCAUGUGAGGAUUUUAUUUUUUUUUAAAUCUCUUCUAAUAGUGAAAGUCUUUUAUAUUGAUAAUUGAUAAUUAAAUAAAUCGGUGCACAAUAUUUAUUCCGAUUUUUUUUGAUUUUUUUUUUCAAAUAUUGCCCAAUAUAAAAGAGAUUCAAAUAUAGUGAUGUAAUUUCAACCAAUAAAAUUGAGUUUUCGACACUUUACCUUUUUGAUAUUUUAACCUUCAGCUUGUAUAAUAGGAGAUUUUCCAGUAAAAGCAGUUGAUACCCAUAAUAUAAAACGUAGAUUUGGGCAUACAAUACAGAUUCGAAGUAGUUCCACUCAAUAUUGAAUUAUCUUCUUUUUUUCUUUUUAAUGUAGAAGGGUAGGCACAGCUCCUAUUAAUUAUUUAUCUCUUAUAUUCCUUAGGAACUGAAUUUUUUUUUGGGUGAUUAACUACAUAAAAUUACUUAAAUUUUAAAAAUCACUCACCUAAGUCCAAGAAGCUAGCGUUGAAUUACUUUGAAUUGAAUUAUUAAGAAGUCUAAUUUUUGCAAAAUAUUAACAUCCGAAUCACUAGAAAUGUCUAGUUAUAUUUUGUCUUCAUUCAAUUUUGUUGGAUCACCUUCUUUUUUUUUUUUUUAAUUAAGGUGACAAUGCUUUAAUUCUUUUUGUGGCAAAUACAAGGAUAUCCACUUGUAUAUAUAUGAACCAAGCAAAUUAAGGAAAAAAAAAUCGCCAUACAUGAUUGAUUGAUGAUUUUUAUUUUUGUUUCUUUUGAUUGAAUCAGCAAAAUUUUGUGAUGACAACAAUUAGCCAUUCUGAGUGGCAACCGUCUUUGGAUUGCACUCAAGAAUAACACUACAAAUAGGACAAUAAAUAAAUAAAAGGCAAGUGUUUGCGUGACGUUUCCUUUGUGAAUUUUUAUAUAUCUCUUUAUGUGAAUCAAAUGCGCACACUUGCACAAAGAGAAAGAAUAUAAACGAAAAGGAAAAUCACUAAUGGAAUCAGCCAACCAUUUCAAGGCAAAGCAGUGUUUGGCACCACCCCCCACCAUUAUAUAUUCUAUCUUUUUUAGUACACAUCAUUGCCACUAUGACCUAAUUAACUAAUCAUUUAAUCUUGUCCUGUAUAUAUCUCUAACUAUUUAUUUCCUAUUAGAUAAUCCAUUGAUUUCAUAUUAAAAUCAUGAGAACAUUAAUUGUGAAACCUUAUGUGGCUAUUGGUUGAUUUAAGUGAUAGAGAGCUCUUCAUGAUUAAAAAAAGAAAAGAAAUUUUGAAAUUUAAAUUCCACUCAUUAAAAAAAGUAAUUUAUGCACGAAUGUUAAUGGGUUAUAUUAAUUAAUUAUGGCGGGUGCAAAUCAACGAACACAUUAUUCGGAAUCCAUUUUCGAAAUAUUUAGGAAUCCGCAGCAUUUAUAUUAAUGUAAUAUUAGAAAAAUUGAGCAGCCGAACCGAGAGUGACGCCAGUGACAAGGCAAAUAUGUUGGCCAUUUGUCGGUUUAAGAUUCUAAAAUUCAAAAGGAAGGUAAACUUUUUGUAAUUAACAGUAUGCGAUCCCUAUGGCUAUAAAAAGACACAAAGGUCAUAAAAGUAUCUUUCAUGUCCAAUUUGUAUAUUUGAUAUGAGGAAAUUUUAUGAGCUUUAAUUUAGGAUUAGAUGUUCUGCACGAUAAAGUCAACUUAAAUCUCAAUCAUAUAUUAAAAUUAAUGAAUAGAUAGUGCACAAUAUUUAAAAAUUUAGGAAAAUUUAAUGAACAAGUGAUACAAAAUCUUUAAAAAUUUAAGAGAGAACUUUAGUCUUUUUAUUUUGUCGAGCUUCUUUCACAAAAAUGUAAUUAAUUUUAUCUCUAAUUAAUAAUAAAAAAGAGAGAAAAGAAAAAGAAAAAUUAUAUCCUUAAAUCUAGUUGUGGGUUAACUAAAGGUUAAAUGUCCUUAUUAGGAUAUCACCUUGUAAAAAUAAUUACACAAUGAAAAGCGAUUGCAGUAGUUAAUUUAGAAUUGGAGGCCUAGAUAUUCCUCAGAGAUAUGGAUAAAUCAAAAGAGAAUUUAAAUGCAGUCUCUCUGCUAUAAAAUAAUCGAGAGAAGUGUAAAGUGUUUAAUAUAAAUUAAAUACUACGCAUAACAUCAAGUUGCUCCAAUAUUGAUAAGAUUAUUAAAUAAUUGGUACGGGGAUUUCUAUAAAGCUAGCUAGCUUAUUUUAUACAACCAAUUCUGUACGUACAUGUUAUAUUUUCAUCAAAUUCUCAUACGUGGUUGUCCUCAUUCUGCAAAUAGAAAUCAAAAUAAUACAUUAUUGCAUGCUGUAAAAUAAAAUAUGUAUAUUCUUUGCUAAGAAAAGAAAAUGCCGACGCUUUAAUUUGUUAGAAUGAAUUGAAUAAACUACUUAUCAGUAAGUUGUUUUUUAGCUUGAGCACAGCUAGGUCAUGCUAAUAUAUCUGUUACUGAAGAUAACAACAAGGAAUUUAUAUUUUAAAUUUUAUCUCUACUAAUAAUAAAUGUUUAAAAUCUGCAGCUACUUCAAUAAUUAAGUUGAGGUCACUCUUGUCUCCAGUUGGAUAUGAGGAGCCAAUUUUAGGGUUGGUGUUAGGUAAGAGAUAACCAAACUCCCAAUAAUAUUUUGUUAAAAGGAGAUGAUACAAAUAAUUAAUUUCUUUUUUGGCGAUUAGGGUUUAGGAGCCUCCGUAAUCACUAAUGGAUUGGCACAGCUUCUGUUUUAGCUUUUAAAUGACUUGGAAGGGUAUGGAGCACUGUCGAGCUGUCCCAUGAAAUCCAACAUUAAUAAACAUAACCCCUUCAUGCUAGUGAGAGGUACUUAGUACUUUCAGAAUUAUUACGUACUUUUAGAGAUGCAUGGGGAAAUCAUUUUAAUAAAUGUACUUGCAUGAAGAACUAUACUUUAAUUUCAAGAAAAAUUUAAGUGGGAUAAUCGAUAAGUUAAUGAUCAUUAUUUUGAAUUGCACUUCAUGCAUACUUGAUAUUUCUUAAUUUAGACACGUUCAUUCAGUUACGACAUACCCCACUUAUAAGCAGUUUCAUUAAAUGACGUAUUUAUAAAAAAAAAUGUAAUAACAUUAUUAAAGAAAAAGUUGUUUUUUACUUAGCCAGCAUUACAAAUUAAAUUGAUAUGGUAAUAAUUUUUAAUUACUCCUCGAGUUUCUCUUAAUAGUAUUUUAAAGAGUACUUUUAUAUACGCACUAAAUCUUGUAUGAUGAUGCAGUAGGCAUUGUUAAGCAUGGAGAUGAUGACAUGACUAGCACUGUUAAGCAUGAAUUAAUAUAAACCACAACAGAGAGAAAGUCAGGAAUCCAUGUGAUUUCGCAUAGUUCUUGGAGAUCAAAUCAAUUUGACAUUGUGUUCCGUAGACGAAUAUGCAAUCGACUUGUCCAAAUUAAAAGUAGAAUAAGAAAAUGACAUCUUCAAGAAGCUUCAAAUGGGAAAAUAAUUCAUACCACUUUUGCAAUUUGCAUUAGCACAGACUUUGAGGUGGCAUCAUCAAUUUAGUCACACGUUGACCAAAAUUCAUAUAAAAAUUUGAUAAAUAAAAGAGAAAAUGUCUAAGAAAAAAAAUGGUACCAUAUAAGAACUUCAAUUGUAGUUAGAAUAACAGAUUAAUUAAAACUGGAAUUAAUUACAGAAUUUGAAGGGAUUACAAUGAAGUUACCAAAUUUGUCAGCAAAUAAAACUAAUAAUUUCUCUUUAUUUGAUUGCUCCUUAAUAUUUUCUUUAAAUUAAAGAAAGAAACUCAAUCUUAUUAUGAAUCCGCAAACAAAAAGGCGCGUAUCACCUCGCUAUUUAACGACCCUUUCAUUUGCUGACGCACACUCCCCCGGCAAAACAAUCAUUCUCUCCCACGCUCGUCACCGGCAUUUGAACUUCACUCGCCCAAAAAAUACGAGAAAGAGAAAAUUUUGGGAAAAAAAAACACCUAAUAGAUUUUGGUAAUCCCAUGUGCCGGACCAUUUUAAUUAAAUUCUUACAAGGUGCGAGUAUUAACCUUUUCAGCAUCAAUUAGUAUAAUUAAUGCACCAGUAUUAUGUAUUCAUCAUAUAUACUAAAAAUUAAUAUCAAUUUAUACAUCAAAUCACACAAGUUAUUGUAUAAAAUUUAUUGUAUUUUUUGUAUACAAUUUUAUUGAGGUCGCCUUUUAGUUGAGCAACAAUUUUAUAAAGCUACAUCGCUUAUAAUAAUUACUAAAUUUAGUAAAAUAUUCAGUUUCACAUUCGACAUAAGAUUUAUCUUUUUUUUUUUCAAAUUUUCUAAAAUAACAAUGGGAAGAAUUUAUAUCACUUUUUUAACCUAUUUUUUUCUUAGAAUUUGAGAUCAGUCAAAGAAAAUUAGUUUACAAUUAUACAUUCAAGCUCCGAAGAACCGAACACAAAAUUUAUUUGCUCUUAUAUCAAUUUAUAUAAAUUUAUAAACAGAUACAAAUAGGCGUUGUAAGCACACACUCCAGGAAAGGGCGCGUAAAGGGGAGGAAGAGGAACCGGCGAAGUAUAAGGAGGAUAUAAUCAUAAUCUAUCUGGUACGCACAUUCAGUAGAUAGUGGAAAGGUGACAAGAGUAAAUAUGUCUUGUAAUAAAUAAUAAUAAUAAUAAUAAAGAUUAUUAUAAUAUUACGUAAUCUUUGACUCCAUGUAGCUUAUGAUAAACACAAAAACAUAUUCUAAUUUAUACCCAAUUAUUAGUUUUGUAAUAUAAUUUUUGUUUUCUUAAAAAUAAUAACAAAUGGGGAAGUACUGUUUGAGGGACUCUUUUAAGCUGUCGUGUUGUUAGUAUGAUUCUUCUAAGAAAUGAUGGGACUUAAACUUGUUGGGGUUUUGAUAGUGGGAGGAGUUGAAGAACAAGAUAAACGGUUGCUCUUGCUGGUUCGGUUUGCCUUUCAUUUGUUGGGAGUUGUCGUUUUGGGAGCUGUUUGUGGUUGAGGUUGAGGAGAGGGAGGGAAGAUUUUUAGCGGGAAAUUAAUUAAAGUUACUCUUUGACUCUCUCAUAUAGUCAUAUGCAUGUAUUGUCAGCAACUUUUGAAUUGAAAGGUUUGAUUUCUGUUUCUGUUUCUGCUUUUGUUUUGUGGGUGUGAUUGCUUUCUUUUUCCUGUUUGGUUGCCAAGAAAAGGGAAGGACAUGAAAGAAAGUUUAAAAUAUUGCUUUGUUUUUGCUCUGCUUUUAUGACUAACAACAAAGGUUUCUUUUUCUUUUUUUUCUUUUUUUGAGUUUUGUUAAGGUAAAAGAGGUUUUGCUUUAUUAUGUGUAUUUAGUGAUGAAUAUGUUGAAAGGUAGUUUGAGAGUAGAAAUUAUUUCAUUUCGGUUAGCUUAAAGUUCUUGCACUUGUUACAUUUUCUUGCUUUGAUUACGCUUUUGGAAAUAGUUAAGCUGGACAUUCAAUUCCAGUUUCUACUUGUUUCUUUAUUAUAUAUGAAUGAAACGGUAACUUGUUUGUCAUGAAUGUUCCUAUUGGAUUCAUCUACUAUUUGGCUUAUUGAAAUUGAAUUUCUUAAUUGCAAGAGAAGUGAAUUUUUUUUUUUAAUCCUUUUUUAUGUAUGCCUUGUUUCAAAGCUUCAAGAAUUGUGGAGGCAAACAAUUUGAAGGGUUGUUUUGCGGUCUAUGAAAUGUUGAUUUAAGUCCAACUGCUGAAUUGGCAAUUUUAGGUGUGUAGCCGCUCUCUGAUUCUCACUAGUUCUUGUUUGAACCUGUUCUCUCCUAGUUUGCUGUCACCUCACCGCUAUCUCUGCUUGCACGUUCGAAGGAAUAGCAAGCAGAAAACUACAAAAAGGAAGGGGUAGCACAUUGAACCUAGAAAAGAGAGUUGAGGGUUGGAACACGAGUAUAACAAAAAUUCUUGGGAUUAUUUGUAUUUUGUUCAUUUUAUAGAGCAGUUGAGUUGACAAGGGAAAUUUUUACCCCCCUCAAUUUUCUUUGUGGGGAACUUUAUGAUCUGCCUCCAAAUUUUGAAUUAUUAUUAUUUGUUUAUAUUUUUCUAAUGAUUCUGAUAUAUUUUAUGAAUGAUUUUCUACAUACUGUCAUAUUCUUUUAAGUCUAGAUAGCAAUCAGAAUUUGUGGUGCGUACAGGUCCACCAUUAACAAAUAAAUGGGGACAAGCAAACAGUAAACUUCAAUUAUGGAAUGACUUGGCUGUUUAGAGCUGAUCUGGACCUUUAAAAAAAAUUAAAUGAAAAAAAUGUAAUGAUUAUUGUCCAAACUUUGGAUACACUUGGCUACAUGCUGUGUGUUCUGCAAAAGCACAUUUGGUCCAAGUUGCUUCUAGCUUGUUGACUGGCUUUUUUAGCAACUUAGUUGGUUUGUAGUAGUUACAAAAAGUGCUAUUCAUUCUCUAUUUGUUUGACAGUUUGGAUAUACUGUUCCAUUUUAGACAUCAGGUUAUUAUAAUGCUGAAGAAGCGCUAAGAUUGUUAUGCAGACUUAAGAAAAAUCUGCAUUUACAAGUCUGGUGGUAUCAAUUCAUUUAGUUUCUUGGCAAUAUCAAAUAAUCUGAAAAUCUUCGUGACGUUUGUUGCAGCAAUUGACAGAUGACAUAGCAAACAGACGAGAAGGAAAAGGUGCUGCAAGUAUAUGAUGGGGUGUCCAAGAUAUUGACGCUUUGUUACUUCGUGAUGUUUUAGUGACUUAAAUUUGUUAAAUUAUAUGGGAGAAAAAAAAAAUUUUAUGCCAUUCUUGGAUUUCUUGUCUUUUGCUUUUUGACGUUAGCGGCUAACUGGUUCUAAUCAUGAGCAUGGAAUCCCAUAAUUUUAUAGCCCGUUAUAUCAGUGACCUUCUGUCAGAGCCUUUUUCUUGUUUCACCUUUGAAGUGGAGAGUGCUGUUUAAUUGAAGUCUUCCAUUAGCUGUUUAAUGUUUCUUAUUUUAGUUAUAAUUGGAGACUGCUGUUCAAUUUGAACCUUGUAGGUUCCCAUUACCUCUUGUGGUAUUUUCAUUCCACCGUUUUAUCUUUAUGUUUAUGCCUAUAUUUUGUUACAUAUGCCAAAAGCUUAUUUGACCUGAUCCUGUUAUUAGUUUGAAGAGCAUGAACUCUCCGUCCACCCAGUAUGUCACCCCAAGAAGGUUGGGCAUUUAUGAGCCCAUCCACCAGAUGAGCACAUGGGUAGAAAAUUUUAAGAGUAAUGGCAAUCCAAAUACAUCAGCACCUAUAAUUGUGGAGGUGGAUACAAGACUAGACAAUCAGGUGCAAAUUAUGACCCUUAUUCUUUUUGAUCUGGAAGUUGAGGCGAUGUUUCCAAACUGAUUCAUAUUUUUCAUUCAACUUUCUAGUCAGAGGAUACUUCUCAUGGAUCGCAAGGACCUUUCUGCAAGUACGAACAAGAAGCAAGUAAACCUUUUGACAAGGUAAGUUUGAUGAUCAAGGAUUUCUUCUCUUGUUCUAAUUUAUAUAGCUUCGAGUUCCUGCUAUUUAUCUUUCUACUUAGAAAAUAAUCCACUUCCUCUAGAUUUACACACAACUGAUGUACACAGUCUGAAUUUGGGGAAAUAUAAGGAAUGGCCAUUGUACCUCAGAAACUAACAGUAACAGAAAUUUUCAGUUAAAGUUUUGUACGUUCUCCUUUCAAUGAAUUCUCCAAUCAUAUGCUGAUUCUGUAUGUUUGUGCCUCAUUCACUUUCUCAUUCAUUUGAGUAUAAACACCCAGAGACUGACACAAUCAUGACAUCUAAGUGAUGUAGAACAUCCUGAAGAUGUAUGUGUGUAUAAAAAUGGAAGUUUCCUUUUUCUCCUUAUUGUAAAUCUUAUAAUAAAUGAAUCAAAGUUUGGAAUUUUUUCCAUUUCUUCCCUCCUAUCCUGUCUAAAUUUCUCCUAUUUCCUUCUAAAGUUCUCUUAUUUCUAUACUAUUAAGUCUUUCAUUUUCAUGUUGUCUUCCCUCAUCUACCUCUGCUCAAGACAGUUGACUGAAGUUUCAGCUAGUAUGAGGGAGGAGUUUCUUAUGGCUCUCCUUCAUUUUAACUGUUGAGAUUUAGUUUGGACACCUUUUGGUUGUUGUAUAAUAGCACGAUUUGUAAUGAACUGCCUUUUAGUUCAUAGACCUUCCUCUAGUCAAUGCAUACAUGAUAAUGGUUUACCAAUUUUAUCCAUUUCGUGAAUGUUUCUCUUCAACAUGAGAUGAUUCUGGUUUGCAUCUUUGUUGCUGAUGUUUGCAGAUACAGAGACGUCUUGCACAAAACCGUGAGGCUGCUCGUAAAAGCCGUUUGCGGAAAAAGGUAUAAAGGGGUCUGAAUCCAAACAGAUAUAGUAUGUGCAACUAGAGGUUUCAAACUUUCUGUUUGAUUAAUCUUUUGUUUGCAGGCCUAUGUUCAGCAGCUAGAAACAAGUAGAUUAAAGCUAGUUCAGCUGGAGCAGGAGCUUGACCGAGCUAGACAGCAGGUGUGGAGAAGAUGUGCCUUUUUUUUUUUUUUUUUGAAUCUAUUGCCAUGAUGAUUGAAGAGGGCCCUUUUCUCCUCUUAAUUUAAAAGUUAAAAAUGUUUGUAUAUUUCAAGUGGUAAAUGCUGCACUGCAGGGUCUGUAUGUAGGUAGUGGAGUAGAAGGUGUGCAUAUGGGGUUCUCUGGAACUGUAAACUCAGGUUUGUUUGUAAAACUGCAGCAUUUAUGAUGGUCGGUUUUGAUAUCUUUCCUUGUCAAAAUUCUGUAUGUUGGUUUUCAUGUCCUCGUGCACAAACAUUGCUAUGCCUUAAAAAUUGCUUGUCUCUGAUACUUUGUGGUUAUUAUGGUAUUUGACAUUCUUAAAUGCCCGAUAUAAAAUGUAAGGCUGUGGCAUUCUAAUCGUAAGCUGUAGUUGCUAUUCUUAUGGAGUAAGAAGAAUGCCGCACAGCCAAGUUUACUGUCAAAUAGUCCUGCUGUAAAAUAGUAUCUGGAAGCAUUUGAGGGCUAAUACAUACUAUCUGCCUUUUGGGUCCCUGGAAAUUCUCUUUGCUCUUCUAGAAUUUUGGAACUUGAUUGAGUAUUGCUUGAGGACCUCUAAUAUCCUCAAUCUGUUCCACUAAUAAAUAGAUAUGUUUUGUUUAACUGGAAUUUUUAGGAACUAGUUGUGAACACGGUAUACUAAAUUGUAGUGAUUUGUAGCCAUAGCUAAAUUUUAUGUAUAGCAAUGUAAUUUUGUUUUAGAAUUGUCUAAAGAAAAAUAAUUAAACUUUGCAUGGGCAAUUAAAGUAAAACUUAUUCUAAUAAAUGUGGUCAAAAUGUACAUGAAAUAUAUUUAUGCUCCUAGCUUACCAUCGCCAUUCAUUGUAUAUCCCUUUGUUUUCAUUUCCUGAAGCACCUGUUGCUUACAGCGCAUUGUUCUUUUGUUCUCUCGUGUUUUUGCAUUCAAUAAUUAGUCGUCAUUGAGAAUUCUGCAUGGUUUACAGCAUUUGAGAUGGAGUAUGGACACUGGUUGGAAGAACAAAGCAGACAAAUUUGUGAACUGAGGAAUGCUUUGCAAGCACAUAUUGGUGACGUAGAGCUCCGCAUUCUUGUAGAUGCUGGCAUGAGCCACUAUUUUGAACUUUUCCGCAUGAAAACAACAGCUGCAAAAGCAGAUGUCUUCUAUGUAAUGUCUGGCAUGUGGAAAACACCCGCUGAACGUUUUUUCUUCUGGAUAGGAGGAUUCAGACCUUCAGAACUCCUCAAGGUAAUUCUUAUUUCUUUUUCUUUUGUAAUUGAAAAAGUUGUCUUAUUUGGUGCAUAGGGCAUGUUGAUUUUGUGGUAGAAGCUGUGGGAUCUAAAUGUGCUAGGCUGAAUUUUAAGACUUGGCAUGAUUUUCAUGCCUAGAUGUUGGAAAAAAAAGCACCAUUUAUUAGGUAUUAUAUUUUCAUAUAGACAAUUCUUUAAUUUAUAAGCACAUCACCGACCUGCACCUACCCAGUUAUCUAUUUUUUUCUCUUAUUAUUUUCAAACUGUGACGAUCAUGUUAGGGUUUCCCAAGUCUUUGUAAUUUCAGUAAAGUAUAUGGUCGUAGCCUUUUUCUUAUAAUAUGGUCCUAGUUCUUAAUAUGUUAAAAACUUCUACACAUUUAUAUAAGCACGUGUUUUACUUUUACGCUUAUUUGAAAAGGACUAAAUUUCACUGAAUGUCACUAACACAUUUGUGUUUUUAACAGGUUCUUGUUCCUCAGCUUGAACCCUUGACAGAGCAGCAACUUAUUGAUGUUUGUAACCUAAGACAAUCAUGUCAGCAAGCAGAAGAUGCACUUUCGCAAGGCAUGGAUAAACUGCAGCAAACGCUUGCUGAGACUGUAGCAGCUGGUCAGCUGGCGGAAGUUGGUUACAAUCCACGUACAGGUACUGCAAUGGAUAAAUUGGAGGCUCUUGUCAGUUUUGUAAGCCAGGUAAGAAUCUGCAUUCUCUCAUUGCCCACUCAAGUGGUUUUCUUCCAUUUUCUCUUUGCACUUCCAAAUUCCAAUUUCUUCUUGACAUGUUUAACAACUCGACAAGUUUUUGCACUGCAGGCUGACCAUCUUCGCCAGGAAACUCUGCAGCAAAUGUCUCGUAUCCUAACAACUCGUCAGGCAGCUCGAGGGUUGCUUGCUUUGGGUGAGUACUUUCUUCGACUCAGAGCUCUGAGCUCACUUUGGGCUAAUCGUCCUCGGGAGCCCACCUAGCCUUACAGCUAGCUCGCACUCUCUGGGAGAUCAAUAUUUACCGGUUGAACAUUGUUUCCGGAAUCAGUGGUACAUCUGGGUAAUGUUGUCAUAAACAAAGUUUCCAGAAAUCUAGCUGCUGACAUUUUUCAAGCAGCCGCAUGCAUCCCGAGGAAUUGUAAAUACAAAUAGCCCUUUAAUGAUAGAGGAAAUUUGUAAUUAAAUCAAUUUUCAACGCGUGUUGUACAUUCGGUCAUCUUGGAACAGUUUUCUUUGGGUAAUAUAUCCCAUCUACAGAUGGAACUUUGUUGUGUAAAUUUUUGUAGUUUCCCCUUCCUGCUCUAAAUGUUUGAUUAAUAAACUGUCCUUGUUCAGGAAUGAGCAAGAGAUACUUAUGCUGGAAAAACCAGUGAAAUUUAAUGAAGUUUUGCUUAGUCAGUCCGUGAGCAUUAGUUGUUUCUUUUCUGAAGUUCACUAGUCACUACUAUAUUUAGGCUCCAUUUGUGAUUGCUGUGUGAUCCUAGCUUAAUUGCAAAAUAAUUAAAAUUUGCAGUAAACACCUACUUAAUAUUUAUCAGACGUUCAUCUAUUUUAACUUGGUAGUUAGGGACAGGUAGAUUAAAAAGUCACACAGCACUUCAGUUUCAAAGAAGCAGAAAUUGAAAAUGGGACUUGGGCAGCAAGAGGAAGAAACAACACACAUCCAAUUCACUAUGUUAACAAUGAGCUGAAAUGUCUGGACAUUCUGCUUGAUAUUAUUGAAACUAAGCUCUCUGUAGAGUCCGAUAUUCAGAGGAUUUGAAAUGUUACAUGAUUUUCCCCAGCUUGUAACAGAUUUAUCUUCACAACUUUGACAUGGAAUAGUCCAAAGGAUAUUCAGAGGAUUUGAAAUGUUACAUGAUUUUCCCCAGCAUCAACUAGAAAAUCUGCGUAUUUCAUUACAUGGAAUAGUCCAAAGCAUCAACUAGAAAAUCUGCGUAUUUCAUUAAAAAAAAAAAAAGGUAUGAUUAUUUUCUAAAGUUUUGAGUUUAAAAAAAAAAGAAAAAGAAAAUUAAUCAUUAUUGAAAAGUUUGUUCAUCAGGAGGGAGCUGUAACAAGUACCUGCAUCAUCUUUUGUAAAACACAUUGGUGGCUUAAUUCUGAAAACAUUUCCAUGUAGUCCUCCUUUGCCAAUGAGAACACCAAGUUCUUCAAUCAGAGACCAGUCAGCAGUUAGCAUCGGAGGAAAUUUGAAGGGGAGUGUAAUUCAUGGCACAAGAUGUUAAAAAAGUAAUGAAAAAUGAGCAACUUUUUAGUCGCAUGAGGUUAUGAGAGUUGUUGAUACCUCUAAGCUUCUCGAAUAAGACUGCAGUUUCUGCCUUGGCGGGUGUCUUCUCCUGCCUGUCAGUUACCAAUUCCAUCCCCACCAUUAGGCCUCUCCCUCUCACAUCUCCAAUGACUGAAUCAAGAUUUUAAGAAAGUGUGAGAAGAAAGCAUAAUGAAAUCACCACUCCGAAGAAACUACAUUCAUAUCAACUUAAUAAAUAGUCGAACCAAGGUCAAUAGAUAAGAAAAGAAAGAAAUGGACUAGUUCAAGAGCAAUUACUAUCAUGUCUCUCUUGUAAAGUUCUCAAGCGUCCAAGCAAGUGAGAACCAACAUCAGCACAGUGUGCUUGCCGCCUUUCUUUAUCAAUGACCCUGAGCACAGCAAGUCCACCAGCAGAACACACCGGGUUUCCACCAAAAGUGUUAAACUGAAUCUUUUGAGCCAUUACAUUUGCUAUUUCUGGUGUGGUCACUACAGCUCCUAAUGGCAAACCAUUGCCAAUUCCCUGAUAAAUGUUUUUAGUGAAAUGUAAAAGAAUGAUAGCAUGAUGAUACUCAAACAUAACCAACUAAAAGAAACGUCUAAGAAUAAGGACAUUGUAAUAAAUGAGAGUUUUAAGUUGAAACAAACGGUUUAUCUUAUCUUAAACAAUCUGUAUAUAAACCUUUGCCAUGGUAACUAUGUCAGGAAUAACCCCUUGUGUCUCAAAACCCCAGUAAUGACUUCCUGUGCGACCAAAUCCAGUUUGUACUUCAUCAGCAAUGCAGACACCUCCAGCCUUGCGCACAAUGUCAUAGACCAGUUUUAAGUAUCCAGGGGCUAAUUCAACAGCUCCUCCAACUCCCUGAAGCCAUUCAAAAUUUAGUAACAAAAAAUUAAAGCUACAAAUUUCUAGCAACCAAUUCAGGGUUGCCCUAAAUGCCAAAUUUACAAAUGUUUGGGAAAAAUUAUAGAUGGCACCUGAAUGGUUUCAGCAAUAAAACCAGCAACUUUUCCUGAAGUUCCAAAAUCAAUGUGAUCUUGCAAAUCUUGGGCAUAGCGGGCAGCAUCUGAACCAAAGCUUCCAUGAUAUGGAUCAGGAUUUACAACAUGAUGAAUUUCACCCUGCAAAUGGCCAGAGUGAUUGGGUAAGUUUCAACAAAUUAGCAUGCCUUGCCUGGUACCUUUCUCACAUACCCUAAGAGAAUGUAUGCCAAUCCAAAUGCCAUGCUAACUGUUUGUACUCCGAAAACACAAUUGGUAGACAAACCUGUGGAAUGGGAUAUUUCCAUGUAUUUAGAGCUGUCAGUCCAAUUGUACCAGAACUUCCACCAUGAUAAGCAUUUCGCAGGGCAAUCAUGCCAAGAUUACCUGUGGAAAGUCUGGCCAUUAGCAUUGCUAACUCAUUUGCUUCGGUCCCAGAAUUGACAAAAUAUACAACCUGCAUUUCCAAUUGAAUUAGAGGAAGCUUAUGAUACCCAGUUUCUUGGGGAUUUAAAUUUGUAAACACAAACAUGUCCGGGACGAAUUACAUAAAACACUAAACUCAAGAGAGAGAACCUUUAGGUUUCCAGGCAUUUUCGAUGCUAAAGCCUCUGCAAAAUCAGCUAUGGCAUGGUGCAAGUAUAUGGUUGUCGCAUGCUGGAGAAGCUUGCUUUGCUCAAAAAUAGCAUUCAGAACAUCAGGAUGACAAUGACCACAGGACACAGUAACUAUUCCAGCAAAUGCAUCCAAAUACCGCCUACCAUUCUCAUCAAACAGAUACUGCAUCUUACCUUCAACAAUAUUAAGCUGUAUAAUGAAAAUUAACAAAUUAGUGAAUUGCGUUUGUUGAAUAUCUAACCAGAAAUUCAACGUUUUAAGAAAUUAAGUACAUUGAAAUUGACCCACAUCAAGAUUAAUUCCCUGCACUGAUCGUUACCAGCAAAAUCAUAUAUUGGAGAAGUAUAUAUUCUAUCAAACCUUCAUUAAAACAGCAUUUAAGCUUAAUAAUCUCUAAGAAAUUACAAAUAACACAACUUAUAAACCUAAUAAAUCCACCUAAAGAUUAAAAAAUAUAUUUAUGAAAAAGAAUUCACAAGUUUUUCAUAUUAGUGCUAUAGAAGUCUAAAAAGCUCAAACUUUUAAGCUCAAAAAGAAAACUUUCAUUCAUUUUAUUACUAAAGAAAGAAAAAGAAUCCCAUUAGGAAAAAAAAAAGGGAAAAAACUAACAGGUUUUUGAUAAUAAUGAAAAAUAGAGGGACCCAGAAAUUGCUUUCGCUUUUGAAACACUUGAUCAGCCGAGGGACCCGUGUAAGGUUUAGGAUCAUGAUCAAAAGGCGGCAGCUGCGGAGGAGUAGUAGCAACAGCAGAAGCAGAAGCAGCAGUUGAGAAAGAAGUGCAAAUAUUCAACUUGGCUUUGGAUUCCUUCACAGUUCUUUUCAAGAUUUGUCUCUGCAAAAACGCCAUUGGAUGGAUGAUGAUGCAGAGAUAAAGAAAGAAAACAGAUUUUUUUUUUUUGAUGAAAAUAUUUCGAAUUUUUAUUUGUUUGCCAAAGUAUGGAUUGAAAAAUCGACAAUGGAAGUUGAGUGGAAAUGGAACGCUAACUGAACAGAACAGUUAACUUCAAAGUUAAGUGAGUGUGGAACGGAACAGUGUAAGAUUUUAAUAAAUAUAAUUUGGUGAUUUGGCGCUUGUUACAGAACAGAAUAGAUUCUUUGAUGUUGUUUUUUGUCGCACACAUUAUUUUUAUUAAUCUUCACAACCAUUAGCUACAAAAAUAUAGUUGCUAAACUGAUCUAUACUCAAAUCGUUCAUAAUUUUUUAUCACACGUGUAUAUAUAGUAAUAUAUAAUAAGAAUUAGUAAAUAAAAAUCAAGUCAUUAUCCAUUUAAGUACAUCUUAUAUUUAGACGUUCAAUGUCUUCUCUCACUCUCCCACACACAAAUUCUUUAAACCAACAUGUAAAAAUUUUAAUAAGUAUAGAACUAAUUUCGUAUAAAAAUAAAAUUUUAAUUUUUUGUGUUAUUGCUACUUUGAUAGCUAAUUUUUUUUAAAUGUAUUUUUCUUAAAAACACUUCUAUGUAAGUUUAUCUAAUUCAAAUUUUCAACCUUCUUUUUUAAUUUGGAAUUGCGAAAAUAAGUUAUAAUGUUGAGUUUGAAACCAAAGCUUAACUCUAUUGUCAUACCCAGCGUUAAGAAAACUUAAAUUCAUAUAACGUAUGUGUUUUAACAGAAUUAUUAUUAUUAUUAAUUUUUUUAAUACAUGUUGAGUAUAAAACUGGAAAUGUAGGUAGGGAUGGCAAAAAUCUCCAUGGGGACGGGUACCCUCAGAAAUUUUCUCUAUUCACGGAGGGUAUGGGGAUAAUUUCGCAGCUCUGCUGAACCGUACAUCCGCCUUGGCCGUACAGCAGAUAAUUUCAUACCCAAUUUCUUAUUCGGGGAAGGGACAAGGAAAUUUUUUUACCCAAUUUUUUUAUUCGGGGAGGGGACGGGAAUGAGGUGGAAUCCCCAUCCCCUACCCAUUUCUCCAUUUUAAUUUUUAAUUUUAUUUUAAUUUUUUAAAAUUACUAUUAAAUAAAUAAUAAAAUUAUAAAUAUUGGUAAAAAUAAAAAAAUCAAAAUAUUUAUAUUAUUAAACUUUUGGGCCUAAUUAACUAAUUAAAGUCCUAAAUUUUUAUUUAGGACAUUAAAAAAACCGAGUAGAUUCUAUUAGCCUAAAAUUUUUUAAUUUUAAUAUUCUUUAAAUAUUUUAAACUUAAAUCUAUUUUUUAUUGACUUAAAUCUAUUUUUUAUUUAUUUUUAGAUGUUAUAAUUGCCCACAGCGAAUCACAAUUUUAAUAUCUAAUAUAAUAUAAUAUAAUAUUUGCUCUUGAUUUACUCCGAUUUAACUAUUGUAUUGUAAAGAGAAUAGUCCACAUUUAUAAAGUGUCUACACCACAAAUUAAUAGUCCACAUUUAAAUUGUUACAAAUAAAUUCGAUUUUAUUUGUAACAAUUUGGUAUUAGACUAUUAAUUUGUUCAUGAUAGUUUGUAAAAAAAGUUUGUAUCUCUUGCAUGCUGCAUUACUUACUAAUUUAAUAUAUGUGACUUUUGUAAUGGAUAUUAAUGUAAGAUAUAUUUCGAACUUUACUUUUAUUUGAAUUUUUUAUUUUAAUAUGAUUAAAUCAAAAUCGAAAAAAAAUGUAUUAGUUAUUCGGAGAUCGGGGACCCUUUGGGAUCCCCUGUUAUUAUUCGGGGAGGAGAUAAGGAUUCUCUCAAGUAAUUCUGACGGGGACGGCGACAUACGCAAAAUAUCAUAGAUGGAUACGGGGAGAUUGGUCCCCUCCCCAUUGCCAUCCCUAAAUGUAGGUAAAUGAAUUAAAUGCAAUCAUAAUAAGCUGUCAUUCAUUGUAUGUGUAUCUUUAAAUAUUAGGAGAAUAUUCAUCAUUGCCCUAUCACGCCAACCUCUCAAUGAUCGUGCUUAUAUAAAAAAUCCCACUAAUUAUAUUUUAAUUUGAUUGGAUUAUGAUUACGAGUCGACUCUUAGUAAGACUAAGCAUGAUAUAUAAACGUGAUUCCCUUUAUUGUUAUUUUUAUUUUAUUAUUUUUAAGUUCACAAAUAGAUAAGCCCGACCAAACGUAUCACGUCUAUAUAUAUAUAUUUUUUGCCUAAUAAAAAUUUAAUCUCCUUGUUACUCAUUGAGUAGGAUUCGCGAUUCAGGAUUCUGAACACAUCUGUAUUACUGUUGAGGGCAAAAAUAUAAUUUCAUAAGGAAACCAAAUGCGUACGCUAAGGUGGAGUGGAGCAGGAAAAGAGACAAAUCUAUGCAUCAAAAUUCAAAAGUGGCCUCUUCCUUUGCUUUCAUGCGUUACGUAACCUAAGAUGAGUGUCCAUUUCUGUGGUUUCUCUCUCUCUCUCUCUCUCUCUCUCUCUCUUUAGAAUGGUGUACAAUCUUCUUUAUUGUGACGUGUUCCAUUUUCUCUCUAGAAAACUGAAGCAGAUACUUUCCCUCUCCAUAAAAUUUAAAAAAUACUAAACUUCUCAAAAAUCAAGGUAAUCAACAUAAUAAAAAUGAAAGAUUCAUGUUUUAAGUUUGUUUACCGUGAAACAUGCAUGUACCCAAGCUCCUGUAACUCAGUGGUUCACGAUGUUGCUAAGAUGGUUCUUGGUCAAUCAGAGCCUUAUACAUGACUGAAACAUAUGUCUCCGUGAAACAUGUACACACUUCACAAUUCACCUGUUUCCUUCUCUUCUUUCUCAUAGCUCACACAAACAACUAACAAGCAACAACAACAGGUCAGCACAACGGCAGGCCAGUGACAUCAUAACACUUUGACCAGAUUUGUUGCGCCAACGACCAGAUCUGCUGAUUGUUGCAUCAAUGGUUGCUCCACUUCACUUCGACUGGAUCUGCUCUUUCCGCAAUCACCAACGAAACCUGCAAAGCCAUCAACGAGACUCGCUGCUGCUUGAUCUAUCGGCUUCCGCUUAAUAUGCGCAAAGCCAUCUACAGUUGUUCCAUCGAGGUCGAGACCGAUAGCCAUCAUCACCAAGUCCUCCGAGCUCCCGAAAUUUUUCAAUUCAUAUUUCAAUUUUUUAUUUAUGAAAAUUAGUGGAUACAGACUAAAAUGAGGUAAUUACAUAAAAGUAAUCUUGUAAUAACUAAAUAAUUAUAAAAAAGCCUCAAAAUUAACAAAAAUAGCUCAGAAUUGCCCUUAAACCGAUUGUCCCAAACUCAACACGAAUUUUAGAUCCGAUCUGAUCCAAUUUGAGUAUAAUCGAAUCCGAUCAAACUUGAAAUUUAGGUUAAAUUCAGAAGAGUUUUCCCUAACCUAACCAACUUGAAAUCUGAUUGGGUUAAUUCGAACUCGAUUUUGCCUAGUCCUAGUAAAGAUAAAAGAAAAAAAUAAAUAUAAGUAGGUGUGUUUGGGACUGGUUUGCGACAAUUGAGCUACUAAGUUGUUUGGUUACACAUUGUAGUUCAGCUUUGGUAGCUCAGUAAUUUUUUUCUCCUAGCUAUGUAUUAAGAUUAUUAAUUUCUAUUCCACAGCUAUAGUUUUUACUCUAUAACAACUACUAUUAGUGAUAUGCCCUGAAGGCCAAUCAAAUGGCGCUUGCUUUUAGGGAAUUCUUGUAUUUAAUUAGUAUUUUUAUAUUUAUAAAAUGGCAAAGUUAUCAAUAUUCAUUAAUUAUAAUAAUUAAUUUAGUUCAAGAAGUAAAAUAGUUAAAGAAUACAUUCUCGAGAUUGUCGAGAAUAUGAAACGUGUAUCUUUUGUGCCUUUGUACUAUAUUUUUAAAAUAGUUCCUCUUCCUAGCGAUAGAUUUAUGACUCCUUUCUGAUAUGUGAUACUAAAAUGGAUGGUGAAUUUCAUAUCAUUAACAUGAAAUGUCAAGUCAAACAUAUAGGUACUUGUUGCAAGAACAAGUUUACUAAACUUGACCAAAUAAUAAUAAGCCAUAUGGUUUUGAGUGUUAAUGGUUUUCUAUAUAUUGUAACAGACACUAUUUUAGUAAUGGUCUUUAGACUAAAGGCAUCACAGUGUCUUGUAAUAGACAUCUAUUUUAUGUGAAAGCAUAAUGAUUGAUUUCUAAUCAAGGAUGAGAUCCAACAAUAGCUGUCAUGGUUGGCUGUGAAAGAAGACAAGUAUAUGGCUAAUAUGAAAUUCAUCAUUUUGUAAUAAACAAAAAAAUUGUCCCUUGUAAGUUAAUAUGGAUUGGCAUGAGAAAUUCUUGGCCAAGGUGAAAUAUAUUUGAAGGCGUUCAAAUUACAUUUUUUAUGCCAAGUUCAUUUAGAUUGAUUUUGAGAUAAAGCAUAAGUGCGUAACACACUAAACCAUAAGCCAUGCUUUUCUCUGGACAUAGAUAAUGAAGAGACCAUAACAUAGAGAAACAAUGAAAUAUGUUCAACAAAUCCAAAAAUUCUUAUUAAUUAGAUGGUUCUGAACUACUAUUAAGUAUUACUCAUAACUUGUAAAAACCUUAAGAUCAUUAGUGCUAAAGAUAGAAACUUUAAGAUCAUUAGUGCUAAAGGGUAUUAGCAAUGCAUCUUAAGGUCAUCAGAAAAGUUAUAAUCGAUGACUAAAGAGAUUAGCAUCUUUUAAUAAAUAAAGAGUUAUCAUUAAAAUGGUUAUACUACUUUAUAAUAAAGAACUUAAAAUGCCACACAACUAAUAGAAAUGAAAAAUAAGUUACUAGAAUAUGAGAAGCUAAAUUUUCUAAUUUUAGGAAAAUCGAUAUUCAUUAAAGAAUAAAUAUAUAUCUUAAAUAUGAUUUAACAUAGAAAAUUUGAUGUUCCAUAAACAAUUUAAAGAACAAAAUAAAUUUCAUAAAUCCUUAAUCAAACACUAGGAUUAAAAUCAAGCAUGUAAAAUAACCAUAUUGGUCAUGUUUCGGUUCAUGAAUGAUUAUGGACUUCUAGACCAAUUUUGGGUAUAGAAUUUUGGGCUUUUAUUGAACCUAAUAUGGAUUACAAAAAAACAUAAAAACAUGUCACAAAAAAUAAGCCCACAAUUAGCCACUUGAUUUUAUAAAAUAUGAGCUUAAUUUGUUAAAGACAAAAUUAUGUAACUAUGCUAUUUAUUUAUUCAAAACUAAUUUAAUUAAAUAAAGUAUUAGAAUGAUCAGAUCACAUCCAAUAAAGAAAAACUUAGUGAGUGGGUCUAACUCACGAUAACGUUUGGUGCCAUUAUUCAAAAGCGAGCGAUAAUUUUGUUUGGUUAAAUGAAUGAUCAUGAACUAGUAUUCAUGUUCUUCAUUAUUUCUCUCAUUGCAAAACGAAUUUUGGUGAUUCUAAAUCCUAUUAACUCUUAUAAGAUUUAUAAGUGUAGACUAAUUAAAGGCAUCACAAUUGGAGUGUUUUAAGAAUAUCAAAUCACACAAAACAAAAAACUAUUUGUUCGGUGAUGUGUUUCCUAGACAAUGUUCGAAACUUUCUAUUUUUGGUGCUUCUUACCUCACGAAAUUGUUUCUAAAACUACAAGUGAGUAAUUAAACUUUAGUCUUUUCUCUUAAUUUUCGAUUUUGAAUGAAGCCUACCGGAGGUUUUUAUAACUUUCGCCAUUCGUUUUAAUUUUACUGUGCAAAAGUUGUGUUUUUAAAAAUCUUAUGGACAAAUGUUAUCCUUCAACUAUAUCUUAAAAUAUACAACACUUCACUACCAAUCGUGUCCUUAUUUUAUUUGUAUUUAUUCUUAAAUGUAAUUGUGAUAGAAUAAGAAUUCUACAAGAUUAACGAAGAAGUAUUUAUGGAACUUCUAAUGAUACGACUGUAACCAUUUUUUUGCCUUUAGCUUACAAGCGGCAUUAUGUCCAAAAAAAAAAAAAAAAAAACCUUAAAAGCGGCAUUAUGUGACAAGCCCACAAUGUGAAAGGAACAUUUCAGCCCACGCUGAAAAUUCACUGCCUUUUGAAGGACCCCUAAUGAGUUGGUCCACCAGGCCCAAUUCCCAUUCUCGCGCCCACCAGCUGCUUGACCAAAUAUCUGAUAGAAGAGGAAACAUGGGCCAAAAGAGGAGCAUAUAUGUAAGCAUCUCAUGAUCGGAUACAUGUUCAAUGUUGAGCCGAGUUUUGAUUGAGCGAUAAAUCAAUGGUUAUUAGAUAAAAUAAAUAAAAAAAAAAAAUUUAAAACAAUUCUAAUCAUUAAUUUAAGCUCAGCUCAACACUGAAUUUAAUCCCUCGUAAUCCUUUGCUCUUACUUGGAGAGGAAAAGGCAUGGAAAAAAUAAAAGAAGAAGCAAGCCAACACCACAACAACGUCAACUCUAAAUUGAAAUUCCAAACACUUGCAACGCCUUGCUGUGCGGGGAGGCAGCUGCGGCGAAGCUUAUGCUCCUUCUUCUUUGGCAGUGCUUUUUGGACACCGUUUUUAGCUUCUGCCAACUAUGCCUGGGAUUGUUUUCUUGCCAAAGAUGUGAAACGACAAUUUUUCAGCUUUGAUUUGACUGCGGCAUUCGAAUAGAGAAGUCAAGACAUAGAUGCAAGAAGCCUUAAACUUGUGUGCAGAAGAACAAGACAGUGCAAGCAUAUACCAGAUUUCAAAUGCUGAGCUGAUUGACUGGCAGACAAUGUCACAAAGAUGCUGUUUUCCAGUGGACCACCAAACAGCGGAUUUCCAAACAAAGGUCAUCAAAGUAGACAUCUGGAACAUUUAACAGCUGACAAAUAAAUGAAAGGGAAUUUUUUACAUGUUAAGGAACCUAUGGAUACCAUGAACUUCUGUACAAUGGAGAGUUGGGAUUUUCCUUCAAAUCAAAUAUCCAAUCCUUAAGCUACCAGUAGUCACGACAUGAACACAGCCCUUUCUUGAAAUGGUGAAAUCGAGUAGCAUCUCUCACAACGAUCUCUCUGUCCACAAGUUUGCAGAUAAAUUUAAUGGCCGAAUGACAGUCAUUGCAGACUCUGAGGUUCUUCAUGAUCCUCAAUGUAGUAUUCUCCGGAGUACUUAUUAGACCAAAUGCAAUAGCAAGUUUCUCGCUGUGAUGUCUAAGCAUCUGCUCCUUCACAUCCUCCUCAACAUCAUGCAAUACAGACGCAGUGUCUGGAACAAAACCCAUCUCUUUUAUUUCGUCCCAUAUUUUUGCCAUCUUAUUGUAGAUUGCAUCUCUCUGAGGGUGAAGCCAAUCUUCAACUCCAAAGACAUGAACUUUGUUCUGGAUUUGAACCCAACUAAAUCCUUGAGUUUUCUUCACACCUACGUACUUCAUUGACUUUCUAAUGUUAGCCGCAUCUUCCCAUUUUCCACAGGAUGAAUAUAAAUUACAGAGGGCUGAGUAGGCCCCACUGUUGUCAGGCUCAAUAAGAAGCAAUUUCUCUGCUGCAAUUUUUCCAAGGUCCAAAUUCUUAUGAACCCUACAAGCAGACAAAAGUGAACCCCAAGCUACUACAUCUGGUUCAAGUGGCAUAUUUUCUAUAAAAUUAUAUGCUUCUUGUAGCAAACCAGCACGCCCUAAAAGGUCAACCAUACUCGCAAAAUGGCUUGGGGUGGGUUUGAUUUUGUGCACAUUUUUCAUCAUAUUAUAAUAUCUCCGCCCUUGUUCCACCAAUCCCCCAUGGGUACAGGCAGUGAGCACGCCAACAUAAGUUAUAUGGUCCGGUUUUAUACCAAGUUCUAACAUCCUCUCAAACAGUUGUAUUGCCUCUUCUCCAAGACCAUGUUGAGCUAAAGCUACAAUCAUAGAAGUCCAAGAGACAGUCUCCUGGCGCCAAUGAAUAAGAUUAAAUACUCGCCUUGCAGCAUUGAUGUUUCCAGCUUUCGAAUACAUGGUGAUUAAAGCAUUGCUCACAGACAGUGAUGAUGCUUCUCCUGAUCUUAAGGCGCUUGCAUGAAUUUGUUUGCCAUGGUCCAAAGAAGCCAAGCUUGAACUGACACUCAACAUGGCUGACAGAGUGUAGUUAUUUGGCUUGGGGCCUUCUCUAACCAUUGAUCUGAAAAGCUCCACGGCAUCUUUAUUCAAGCCGUUCUGCUCAUAUCCCACAAGCAUGGCUGUCCAUGCAACCACAUCACGAUCUCUUAAUGAGUCAAAGAUCCUUCUAGCUGGGCCUAUAUCCCCAAUCUUGAUGUACCCAUCUAGUAGCGUUGUAAAUGCUAUAACGUUAAGAUACGAAAUCCCACUCUGCUCUACAAUCUUUUGAGCAAUUUCAACCCCACCAACCUUUGCAUAGCAUGAAAUCAAAGCAUUUCCCAC